rnacentral:lncRNA from 1 species
UAGUGUCACCACCAAUUAAACAUUUUUAUUAGUCAACUGGAUUUCCUUUCAUGCUGAUAGGCCCUUUAUUCUCUUUUGUGACAUUUAGUUUAGGACACUUUUUGACAAUGAAGAGACUCCAGCCUUCUAUUAUCUUUACGUGAAUAAACCUGCUAAAUUGUAAUACAUUUGUUUGUGCACCGCCUUUUUUGUGUACCUUCUAGAUGAUUAUACAGAUAUCUCUUUUAUCACUUUUAUUUACUUUGGAUGUGGCUUUAUAAGCGAUUGAGAUGCUGUCCAAAAUCUUCUGCUGUGAAUUUAAACAAUGCUCUACUGCGACUGUGACAGUUCUUAUAACUCUAAACCCCAAUUUUUCUUUCUUCCCUGCUAUUAAAAAUGGAAGGCUUGGGUAGUUCACUUUAAAACCUGAAGGUCCAUAAAAGCAUCGUGAGAAAUGAAUGAUGCUCAGAAAUAUGUGUGAGUUCUGCAUCCAAACAGUAUUGUCAAACAAAUGGCUAAAAAUUAGAAACACAGCUUCUACCACAACAAUAAUAAACACCAAGAGUGGGAAAAGACAUGAUUUUAUAAAACACAAAAAGAUGCAGUAAUAAUAUUCAUUACCUACAUAAUGUGAAGCUUCAUCUACUUUUGCAAUACUUGCUUUACAUGACAAAAGUAUUCAUUUCAAGGCUUCAAGCUAGCAAAGACCACCACCCACAAACAUACAGCAAAAGUACCCAAGAUUGCCUUUGUAUAACACCAUGCAAAACCUAGCUAUAUUUCUCCAUCCAUCAAAGUUAGCACAGUUGUGCUCAUGACCAUCAAAGUUGGCAGUGUCCCUCUGGAAAGAUUGGGUAAAACACCCUGAAUAUGUUUGAAACAUCUCAGUAGAUGUAUAGAAACAGUCAAUCAAAUCAAAAGAACAUUUUCGUAGAAUCCUGCAAAAUUCUAAUAGUAUGAGAUCUUGUAAAUAUCAAAACCCCCCACAGGAACAAGAUCGUUCAUUCAAUUUCACCACAUUUGCCUGAUCCCCCUGAUUAUCAAUACUCCUUGUUGUUUUAAGUGUAUGGCAUCCCAAAUGCGACGUUAAAGAAGCAGCUGUUCGUACUUUAGACUUUAGUGUGUGAAGCCGCCUAUUGAAGGUUUAAGAGCCCAAAACACGGAUUUAAACACCUUGAAAUCCCCCAUGCUUGUUUUAUCAUGCCUCCACUCCACAACAGUCCCGAGGUUGUACUGUUGCAAUGCAUUUAGAUAUCUAUACAGUUUCCAUUUAACAGGACAAACGCUUUUUGCCCCUCCAUCAGUGCCUUCUUGUAGGAAAUAUCCACCCCAAAUCUCCAGUACUUCAGUCUCAUCAACUGCACCUUGAUGAGAAGACACAGCAACUUUGAUGGCCUCCUUCUCUAUAUACAGUUCAACAACUCUUUGAGGUGGAAAGUUUGACGGUAUAUCCGACACGAUAUCCAACCCUUCAUCAUCCUCAACUGGAAUAGCAAAAUACUUGAUGCAAUUGGCUGUAUAAGACAUGGGAUAUUGACAUUUCAAUUUAAUUCGAUACUCAUUUUUGUCUAUCCCAUUCCCAGUCACAGUGUUCAACUUGUUAAGCAAUUCAACAAUUGAUGUUCUACGGGCCAACUUGAUUAUUCAUUUAGGACUUGCAUCACGUUCAACACCACAGUGUCCUUCCUUUAGUCCACCAUUCCAAUGCAGAACAACCUUUACGUCAAUAUCUUCCAAAUCUUUUCUCCUCACCUUGAAUGAAAAUUUAAUGCUAAUUACUUCAGUAGACAAACAGGCAUAUAUGCUUGCAUUAAAAUUUACUUCAUACUCUUCAUUUACCAGAUAUAUUUAUAAAUAAGCUCCCAACUAAGCCAUAAACAAAUUAGUUCCUAUCUAACCUGACUGACAAAGAAUUCCCAAGUUUAAACUUAGCAUGAUAGCUUAUCAGGCCAUCUCAAAUCAUACCAUCAUCAGUAAUUCUCAGGAAAGAUCGUCGAAACAAUCUCCUUAGACAGAAUUACCAUUCCAAAUAAAUUCCUAGGAAAUGCUGGAGGGGUCACAAGCGGUCCACUUAAAAUCCAGUUUCCUAGACAGAAUUUACGUGCACGGUGUAUUAUCACAACUAGACCCGUGUAUACAUAAAUAUUACGUACACACGAAUAAGAAAAUAUACCCAAAUGAAUCGUAUAAAAUACUACAAAUAAAUCUGACAAAUAUAGACAAAUAUAUUGAAUCCUAUACUUCAAUAGAAAAGAAACUACUAAAUAAGUGCGGAAUAAAUAAAAGAGAUAAGGAAAAAACGCAUCCGAAAAAUUGAUAAUGGAGUUCGGCAAAUUUUGCCUAAUCUCCGAGCACCACUCAAGCGACCCGCUCUUAUAAAUUUAGGAGAAAAAAGAAUUUCAAAAGAAUUACAAAAUCCUUUUUGGUGUAAUUCUUUUGUUGGUGUUUGGUGUAAUUGAAUUGAUUUAAAUAACUCUCAAGCCCUUACCAAAGCUCUCAACUCUACCAAUGUGGGAUAGAAAUCGAUGCCACAAAUUCAACAAUUGUGACUUGAAAAAGUCUACAAUUUAGGUUUUGAAUUCAACAAAUCUCCACCUUGGCAUAAUUUCUAGUCUCACCAAAAAAAUACAAAUCUUCUCACAAACAAAAAAUAACAAAUGGUCCUUGCGGUACCUUCAAAUUUGCGCUCUCAGGCGCCAAUUCAAAUGUGCAGGAUAUUAACCAAGUUUAGACAAUGUUCAAACUUGACUCUUGUAACCACCUUGGUCAGCAUAUCUACAGGAUUCUUUGUAGUCCGAAUCUUCUGGAGAAAAAUCUCUUCUUCAUCGAGAAUUUCCUGCACAAAGUAAUAGCGAACAUCAAUGUGUUUCGUUCUUGCGUGCAAGACCUGGUUCUUUGCUAAGUAAAUAGCAUUCUGACUGUCACAAAACACGUCAAUGUGUUUUUGACCAACUCCCAAGUCUUCAAGCAAUCCUUGAAGCCAAAUUGCCUCCUUCACAGCUUCUGUAAUCGCCAUAUACUCUGUCUCCGUUGUAGACAAAGCCACCGUUGAUUGCAAAGUAGACUUCCAAUUAACUGGCGCCUUAGCAAACGUGAACAAGUAGUCAGUUGUAGAACGUCGCUUAUCCAAAUCACCUGCAUAGUCAGAAUCACAAUAUCCAACUACACAUUGGCCAAGUGAUUAUCCUGCUCAAAUACUAAUCCAACAUCUACGGUAUUUUGGAUAUACCGUAGAAUCCAUUUCACAGCUUGCCAAUGACCCUUGCCCGGAUCAUGCAUAAACCUACUUACUACACCAAUUGCCUGUGAAAUGUCGGGUCUCGUACAUACCAUUGCAUACAUCAAACUACCAACUGCAUUAGCAUACGGAACUUUCGCCAUGUAUGCUCGCUCUUCAUCCGUCUUUGGAGAUAAUAGGCUGCUAAGUUUCAAAUGAGGAGCAAGCGGAGUACUUACAGGUUUUGAAUCUUCAUUCAUACCAAAACGUUGUAGUACUUUAUUCAAAUACUGCUUCUGUGUCAGACAAAACUUGCCUCUCGUUCUAUCCCUACUUAUCUCCAUGCCGAGAAUCUUCUUGGCUUCUCCCAAAUCCUUCAUCUCGAACUCUUUACUCAACUGAGCCUUCAUUUUGUAAAUUUCAACUUAGCUCUUUGACGCUAUUAGCAUAUCAUCAACAUACAAGAGUAAGUAGAUGUAGGAAUCAUCUCGUAGCUUGCGCAAAUACACACAAUGAUCGUAUUUGCUUCUUGUGUACUUCUGACCUAUCAUGAACUGGUCAAAUCGUUUGUACCAUUGUCUCGGUGAUUGUUUCAAUCCGUACAACGAUUUGCUCAGCUUACAAACCCAAUUUUCUUUACCAGCAACUUUAAAUUCAUCUGGCUGAGACAUAUAGAUUUCCUCCUUCAAGUCACCGUGAAGGAACGCGAUCUUCACAUCAAAUCGAGAUAGCUCCAAAUUCAACUGUGCUACCAAGGCCAAUAAAAUUCUAAUAGUAGCCUUUAGCCACCAAUCUUGCUUUGUAACAAACAUCAUUCUUGUCAGAAAAUCUUUCUUUCUUUGCAAAUAUCCAUUUGCAUCCAAUUGCCUUCUUGCCCUUCAGUAGUUGUGUCAACUUCCACGUCUUGUUCUUCUGAAGAGAUUGCAUAUCUUCUUCCAUAGUAUCUUUCCAUCUAUCAUUUUCUGUAUUUCGAACUACUUCAGAAAAUGUGGAUGGAACAUCAUCAACAACUGAAAGUGCAAAAACCACCAUGUCAACAAAACGAGCAGGUUUAUGAAUUUCUCGUCUUGCCCUAUUAACGGCAAUUGACUCUUGCUGCUGUUGAGGUUCUUGGGUUGAAACCUCUUCCUCAUCUGACUCCUCUUCUGCCAUGAGAGAGUCACUGAUGGUGCUGUUUGCUGGACUCACCAUUAUUUGUUCAAACUCCACCUGUUUCGGCGUACACUCCACAUGUUGCGGAGUACCACUGGUCCCAUCUUCUGCUACCUUAUUCAAUAUGACAGAUUCAUCAAAGGUAACAUCCCUGCUGAUAAUGAUUUUCUUUGCUUCUAGACACCACAACCGGUAUCCCUUAACUCCAGCAUUAAAGCCCAUAAAGAGAGCCUUCUUUGCACGUGGAUCCAAUUUUGAUUCAUUUACAUGAUAAUAUGCAGUAGAAUAAAAAAUACGCAAAGAAUCAUACUCUGUUGCAGGUUUUCCAAACCAUACCUCUAAUGGAGUCUUGCCACCGAUUGCAGAUGAUGACAAGCGAUUAACGAGAUAUUGAGUGUAUGUCACAGCCUCAACCCAAAACUUUCUGUCUAACCCAGCAUUAGACAGCAUGCAACGUACUUUUUCCACUAGUGUCUUGUUCAUACGCUCUGACACCCCAUUCUGCUGCGGUGUUUUUCUAACUGUGAAGUGCCGAACUAUGCCACAUUCUUGGCAUAUUUUCUGGAAGGGAUUACUCUUGUAUUCUCCACCGUUGUCUGUUCGGAGGAUCUUGAUCUUUCUUCCCGUCUGAUUUUCAACCUGAGCUUUCCAUUUAAGGAAAAUCCCUAGCACCUCAUCCUUGCUUUUCAUAGUAAACACCCAAACUCUUCUGAAAAAAUCAUCAAUAAAAGUGACAAAAUAAUAUAUGCCACCAAGAGAUGGAGUCUUGGCAGGUCCCCAUACAUCUGAGUGCACAUAAUCCAAAAUACCCUUGGUAUUAUAGAUACCAGUGCCGAAUUUCACUCUUUUUUAUUUUUUCAGAACACAAUACUCACAAAAUUCUAAUUUGCAAACUUUCGUACCUUUCAAUAAUCCGUGUUUGGCAAGAUUUUGCAAAGAUUUUUCACCAGCAUGUCUCAAUCGCAUGUGCCACAACUUUGUUGCCUCCGCAUCAUUCUUGCUACUGGAAGAUGUUGUUGCUGCUGCUGUCCCAACAACUGUACUAUCUUGGUAGUAAUACAGAUUAUUCUUCCUCACACAUUUCAACAUCACAAGUGCUUCCGAAGUUAUUUUAAGAAUUUCAUCUCGCAUUUUCACUUCCAGGCCUUUUGACUCCAAGAGUCCCAAGGAGGUGAGAUUCCUUUUUAAAUUUGGCACGUACCGAACAUCCUUCAAUAUUCUAGUGGAUCCAUCAUGAUUACGCAGCUUGAUUGAACCUAUCCCACCUAUUUUACAUGGAUUAUCAUUUCCCAUGUACACAACUCCACCAUCAAAUUCUUCAAAUUCAAAGAACCAUUCCCGCAUGGGAGACAUAUUGUGGUAUCAGAGCCGAAGGUUCGUCAUUUGGCUUGUUUGUAGUUUGUUAUAUUGAAUACUAUCAUUUGAGUCUGUAAUGGCAUCUGACAAUUCCACGUCAAGAAUUACAUCUGGGGCAUCGGCUUCCUCGUCUACAUGGCCGAGGACUCCAAUGUCAAGUUCGAAACUAGCGGUGGAGAUAUUUGACGGUACUGGCCAUUUCGGCAUGUGACAAGGCGAAGUCUUAGACUCCCUUUUCCAACAGGGUCUUGACAUUGCCAUUGAAGAAAAGAAAUCAGAUGACAUGGAAGAGAAUGAGUGGAGUAAUAUAAAUUGGUUCGCAUGCGGAACUAUUCGAUCGUGUUUGUCCAGAGAGCAAAAAUAUGCUUUCAAGAACGAGACUUCUGCAUGAAAAUUGUGGAGGGCAUUGGAGGAGAAAUUUCUGAAGAAGAGUGGUCAGAAUAAACUCCUAAUGAAGAAAAGAUUGUUCCGAUUCGAUUACCAACCAGGUACUACUAUGAAUGAACACAUCACUAUGUUUAAUCAGUUAGUAGCAGACCUGUUAAAUUUAGAUGUAAAAUUUGAAAAUGAAGAUUUGGCUUUGAUGUUGUUAUCAUCCCUUCCUGAUGAAUUUGAACAUUUGGAAACUACGUUACUUCAUGGAAAGGAGAAUAUGUCUUUAGAUGCUGUAUGUUCUGUUUUGUAUAGUCAUGAAUUGAGAAAGCAGGAUAAAAUAAAAAAGAAAAUAGCUACAGCGUGAUGCAUUUAGCCACCAUUCAUUCCACAUCUCGCUUCAUCCUUAGCCAAUGGAAGUGCUCUUGAAGGUAGCUAAGGUUUUAGCCACGCCAAAGUGUCCCAUCAAGCCAUCUCCGUGUGCUUCCUUAACAAGUAAAGAGUGAAUAGAGCAGUCAGGUAUACACAGUUGAUUGAAGUAGAAAAGAAAUCCAUCAAGGAUGUAGAAUUUACCUUGAGUUGUUGAACCACAAGAGUCAUAAAUACCUGAGAAAUCUGGGUCAUUGGUGUAUAACUCUUUAACUAAUUCAAAUCCUAACAACCUUGCAUCAAGUUGAGUGAGCAAAGAGUACCGGCGUGAUAAUGCAUCAGCAACAACAUUAGUUUUCGCCACUUUGUACUUAAUCACAUAAGGGAAGAUUUCAAUAAAUGCAAUCCACCUAACAUGACGCUUAUUCAACUUGUGUUGUGACUUAAUGUGUUUAAGCGACUCAUGGUCAGUGUGUAUGACAAAUUCCCUUGGUCUCAAGUAAUGUUACCAAGUUUCUAAAGCAUGGAUUAAGAAGUACAACUCCUUAUCAUAAGUGAAAUAGUUCAAAACUGCCCCAUUGAGUUUUUCGUUAAAGUAUGCAAUUGGUUUGCCCUCUUGCAUUAGGACAGCUCCAAUACCCACCCCAAAUGCAUCACACUCUAUUUUAAACAUCUUGUCAAAGCAUGGCAAUGCAAGUAGUGGUGCUUGUGUGAGUUGAUGUUUAAGUAUUUGAAAAGCACGUUCUUGAGCAUCACUCCACACAAAUGGCUCAUUUUUCUUAAUUACAGCAAUUACAGGUGCAGCAAUGGUACUAAAAUCUUUAAUAAAUCGUCUAUUAAAACUAGCAAAACCAUGGAAGCUGCGUACCCCACCCACCGUGCUUGGAGUAGGCCAUUCUCGAAUUGCUUUAACCUUCUCCUUAUCCAUUUUGAUUCCCUGUUUACUCACAACAAAGUCUAAGAAGACAAGUUGAUCAGUACAAAAAGAGCACUUCUUAAGGUUAGCAUAGAGUUUUUCCUUUCAAAGUACAUCAAGAACAAGCUUCACAUGUUCAACAUGCUCAUCUAGGCUCCUACUAUAAAUCAGGAUAUCGUCAAAAUACACAACUACAAAUUUUCCAAGGAAUGGACGAAAUACAUGGUUCAUCAAUCUCAUGAACGUAUUAGGUGCAUUAGUUAGUCCAAAUGGCAUAACUAACCAUUCGUAUAAGCCAUGUUUGGUUUUAAAGGUCGUUUUCCAUUCAUCCCCCUCUUUCAUCCUAAUUUGAUGAUAACCGCUUUUUAGAUCAAUUUUAGUGAAAAUCACAGUACCAUAUAGCUCAUCUAACAUAUCAUCAAGUCUAGGAAUAGGGUGACGAUAUUUUACCGUUAUUGCAUUAACGGCCCUACAGUCAGUGCACAUUCGCCAACUUUCAUCCUUUUUAGGCACUAAGAUGACAGGAACCGCACAUGGGCUCAAACUUUCUCGUGCCCAUCCCUUUGUUAGAAACUCUUCGAUUUGGCGUUAGAGCUCCUUUGUCUUAUCUGGUCCCAUUUUGUAGGCUGGUCUGUUAGGAAGUGGGGCACUUGGAACCAAGUCAAUUUGAUGCUCAAUUCCCCUUAUUGGUGGUAGUCCAUUUGGAAUCUCAUCGGGGAAGACAUCCUCAUAAUCCUGCAAAAGCGAGGCAAUACUAGAUGGUAGAGUGUUAAUAAGAUCACUUGUAACAACCAACACCUCUUUGCACAAAAGUACAAAGAUGGGUGUAUUAACACUCAAAACUUUUCUUACUACAUUGGCUUUUAUCAAUAGAUUUUGCCUUUUCUCUCUCUUUUCAAUUUUGGCCGGCUCACCAUAUGUCUUUUUCCUCUCAAUUUUUUCGGCCUUAUCAUUUUCUGUUGAGCUCUCGGCUUUUUCUAUUUUUUUUCUUCUCAUUCUCAAGCUCACUCUCCUUAAUCAGGCUUUCUUGAUUUUCACGAACUUGGAUAGGAAUGAGUGGACAAGCACAAUCCUCUUCUCGCCUUGCUUGAAGGAGUAUUUAUUGGUAAUGCCAUUGAAUGUAACUCCCUUGUCAAAUUGCCAUGAUCUCCCCAAUAAUAUGUUACAUGCUUGCAUAGGGACCACGUCGCAUAACACCACGUCCUCAUACUUUCCAAUUCAGAAAGAUACUUGGACUUGCUUGGUCACACGAACAUCCCCACUAUCGUUCAACCAUUGCAAACGAUAAGGUGUUGGAUGUCGUAGAGUGGGUAGUGCUAGUUUUUCCACCAUCAAGGCACUAGCGACGUUAGCACAACUACCUCCAUCUAUGAUCAAACUACAUACCUUGCCUUUGAUAUAGCAACGGGUGUAGAAAAUGUUCUCCCUUUGUGCAUGGUCGGCGGCUUUCACUUGGGUUGCUAAGGCUCGCCUGACAACGAGUCCAACUCGUUCAUCGACGGGCAAUGCUUCCUCUUCUUCCUCAAGGGAUGGCAACUCCUCCUUCUCAUCUUCAUCAUCGGUGAGAAACUCACCAUUGAGUAAGAUGAUCAUAGUGCGUUGGUUCGGGCAUUGGCUAGCAAUAUGCCCUCGGCCUUGGCAUUUGAACCAUCUAGUAUCUCGAUUUCGCCCCAUGCUCGACUCAAUGGCAGUCUUUGGUAUUGCCUUAGACUCCUACUUAGUCAUAUCCGGCCUCGGUCUUGAAAGGGUGGAAUUACUCGACCCUUUAUCCUCUUUCUUUGGUGGUGUAGUUCGGGGAUAAGAGGGUGAAAAGUUGGAGUAGCUCCGAGUUGAACCCCUCCUCUUAAUCCUCUUUUCAAUCUUGAUGGCCUUCUCCACCAAGUCCCCAAGUUCCACAUAGUGGUGUAACUCCACUUGAUCAGCGAUUUCGGGCCUUAAUCCGUUCAAAAAGCGUGCCAUUGUUGCUUCUCGAUCCUCCAUGAUGUCUGCCCGUAGCAUGAGUAUUUCCAUUUCCUUGUGAUAGUCCUCGACAUUUCGUACUCCUUGGUUGAGGGUUUGAAGCUUUUGAUACAAGUCACGGUAGUAGUGACUUGGUACCAAACGCUUUCUCAUUAGUCGUCUUAGCUCCGUCCAAGUUUGUAUAGUAAGUUCACGACUCCUCCUUCGACUAGUAGAGAGUUGAUCCACCACACAACGGCGUAGUCGGUGAAUUCGGCCACGGCCAACUUGACCUUUUGCUCCUCCGAGUAACUAUUGCAGUCGAAGACAAGUUCAAUCCGCUUCUCCCACUCUAAGUAGGCAUUGGGGUCUGAUCGUCCUUAGUGGUCAUUUGAAAGUCUAGCAUCACGCUUGGACCUACUUUGCUUGUGCUCAUAGUUGUUGUCUGAGUUAGAGUCGCUAGACUCAUGUGCAUAAGCCUUUCCAUGGCUGCCUUUGGAGCUUCCAUGAGACAACUCUAAGCUGUCAAUGCGUUGGUGUAUCAGUUCAAGUUUUUGGUCCAUCAUGCGUUCCAAUUCGCCUUUGAUUGCUUCUGUGAAAAGUUUAAGAUCAAAAGCUUGGGAACUUGCUCCCCCCUCGUUAGCUAUGGUGAAGUAUAGGGUAAAAAAGAAUAAUAAUGGAAAGAAGCAAAGUUUAUCUCGCACACUUCCUCACGUGUUUACUCUCGCUCUCGUGUUUGAACACUCUAAUGAACUCACCAAGGUGUUUUCAAGGCUCCUCGGUCAACUCCUCGAAGAAGUUAGAACUCCUUUUAGUGUGGAUCGACUUACCAACCAGGGUCACAAGAUUAUAACAAAAGAUGAAGGGACUGACCACGACUCAAUGAAUGACUCAAAGUUGAAUUUUAAGGACCCUAGACAAAACUCUACCCAAAACUGAAAUUUUGAGCUGUUGGUUGGUGCAUUUCUGGUCAGUGUCUUGGUAGGUAAAUGGACACUUAGAAGAUUCAGAAUGACACUUAAAACUGACCUAAUGAUGCACGAAAAUUUCCAGAAUUAAUGAUUGGACAGAAAUUCCCUAACGGUUGCAAAGAUGGAAUCCGAAUGGAAAACGAAUUUGUGUUGCGGUGGGACUGUUUUAGAAACCUAAGACUGACUUUUCUUCCUUAAUCCUUUGGAACAAGGAUUAGUCUUCCUAUUUGCUGGUUCCCACGAAUUCUAAGGUCAAGAUCAAGGUUGGAACUGAUUUGGUUAUUUUUGGGAACGAGAAUUUGACUUGAACGGGUUGAAAAAUUUGACUUUGAAUAGGUUGGAAAAUUUGACUUGAAUAAGCUGAAAAAAAAAAUUGACUUGACUUGGGGCCUCUUAGACAUCAAUAUUUCGAUGGUCAGCUUUUAGGGGGGCAUUUAUCACAAUCAAUGGUCAAAUUUGGAACCUUUCAAGAGUCAAAUUUCGUGACUUAGGAAGGUUGGUUUUCAAGAGUCAAAUUUCAUGGCUUAAUGUUCUUCUUAUCAAUGGUCAAUUCUGGAGGCUUUCAAGAAUCCCAACUAAUGUUCCAAGAACUUCAAGAUUGUGGUUUUAAACAAUAAAAAACUUCAAGAAACCCAAGUUUUGAUCAAAACAGAUUUUGGUUGGCUUCAAGAAUCCCAACUAAAGUUCCAAGAACUUCAAGAUUGUGGUUUUAAACAAUCAAGAACUUCAAGAAAUCCAAGUUUUGAUCAAGACAGAUUUUCAAGAAUUUCAUAACGUCAGCCGGCUAUAUUUUUUUUGUAUUUUAAACAACAAGAACACAAAAAAAAGGCUGGACCAAACAAGGCUAACCACAGCAAUUAACAGCAACUAGACGCAAGUUUAUGACGCGACAAAUCUGGAAAAAUAAUGCAAGAACACGAUGCAACAAAUCUGGAAAUUGCGGAUAGCAAACUUAGAACACAAAAACAGAAUUUUGGACAACUUGACUCGAAAAGGAAAUAAAUAAAGGGAUAUAACGUGAUACCUCUUAACUAACUCUGAUUACCAACUGAUACGAACGUCGCCAACCUUGUGACGAAACCCGUAAAAGAUUAGUUUCAAGAUCGACAAGAGGAUACCAAAUUUGGAGCGGAUGACCUCAACCCGUUAAUCACGUGGGUAACGAACCUUGGUAUAAUGGUAGAGGACGCAACAACCUAGUGCGAUUCUAGAUUGAUAAGUCACGAACACCUAGAGAAAUUCUAAGGUAUUCAAGAAGCCUUAGAGAAACCAAAAAAACUCUCAAAAUCUAAUUUAUUGAUUGCAUGCCUAAAAUCGUUGGAAGUGUGGGCUAUUUAUAGCCUUACAUAGAGAUGAAAAACUAAAUAAUGUGAAACUAGUCUAGAAUUGUGGGUUUGACUAAAACUAAGAAUUGUAGACUUGACUAUUUCCAUAAGACUAAGAAUUGUAGGUUUGACCAAAUCUUAUGAGGUCAUCCCUUAGAUAAAUAAAGCAAGGUUAUGGACCAUUAAGCCCUUAUUACAAUGACUUAACUAAAACAGCAAAUGUGACUAGAGAAGGGUCACGCAUGGUUCUCUUUGACGUGCACUACAUGGAUGACCUUCAUUCCCACUCAAAAAUACAACUAGUGAUUAAACCGAUUCAAUAAUUCCCAAGAAAGAUCGUCGAAACAAUCUCCUUAGACAGAAUUACCAUUCCAAAUAAAUUUCCAGGACAGGCUGGAGGGGUCACAAGCGAUCCCACUUAAAACCCAGUCUCCUAGACAGAAUUUACGUACACGGUAUAUUAUCACAACUAGACCCGUAUAUACAUAAAUAUUACGUACACACGAAUAAGAAAAUACACCCAAAUGAAUUGUAUAAAACACUACAAAUAAACCCAACAAAUAUAUUGAAUACUAUACUUCAAUAAAAAAGAAACUACUAAAUAAGUGCGGAAUAAAUAAAAGAGAUAAGGAAAGAACGCACCCGAAAAAUUGAUAACGGAGUUCGGCAAAUUUUGCUUAAUCUCCGAGCACCACUCAAGCAGCCUGCUCUUAUAAUUUAGGAGAAAAGAGAAUUUCAAAAGAAUUACAAUAUCCUUUUUGGUGUAAUUCUUUUAUUUUUGGUACAUUUGAAUUGAGAAGAGAUGAAGUUAUUUAUAAUUUCUCAAAACCUCUCUUAUCUCAUAAUCCUACCGAUGUGGGAUUAGAAUUGUGCCAAAAAAAUUUCACAAUUUUGGUUUGGAAAAGUCAUCAAUUGAGGCUUUGAAUUCAACAAAUCUCCACCUUGACAUAAUUUCUAAUCCCACUCAAAAAUACAAAUCUCCUCACCCAAAAAAUCAAACGGUUCUUGUGGUGAAUCCAAAAUUUACGCCCUCAGGCGCCAACUCAAAUGUGCAGGAUAUUGACCAAGUCUAAACAAUGUUCAAACUUGGACCUUAUAACCACCUUGAUCAGCAUAUCUGCAGGAUUCUCCGUAGUCCGAAUCUUCUGGAGAAAAAUCUCUUCUUCGAGAAUUUCCGACACAAAGUGAUAGCGAACAUCAAUGUGCUUCGUUCUUGCGUGUAAGACCUGGUUCUUUGCUAAGUGAAUAGCACUCUGACUGUCACAAAACACGUCAAUGUGUUUUUGACCAACUCCUAAGUCUUCAAGCAAUCCUUGAAGCUAAAUUGCCUCUUUCACAGCUUCUGUAAUCGCCAUAUACUCUGCCUCCGUUGUAGACAAAGCCACCAUUGACUGCAAAGUAGACUUCCAACUAACUGGUGCCUUAGCAAACGUGAACAAGUAGUCAGUUGUAGAACGUCGCUUAUCCAAAUCACCUGCAUAGUCAGAAGUAGACAAGAAGCAAAUACGAUCACUGUGUGUAUUUGCGCAAGUUACGAGAUGAUUCCUACAUCUACUUACUCUUGUAUAUUGAUGAUAUACUAAUAGCGUCAAAGAGCCAAGUUGAAAUUGACAAAAUAAAAGUUCAGUUGAGUAAAGAGUUCGAGAUGAAGGAUUUGGGAAAAACCAAGAAGAUUCUCGGCAUGGAGAUAAGUAGCGAUAGAACAAGAGGCAAACUUUGUCUGACACAAGCAAUAUUUGAACAAAGUACUACAACGUUUUGGUAUGAAUGAAAAUUCAAAACCUGUAAGUACUCCGCCUGCUCCUCAUUUGAAACUUAGCAGCAUAUUAUCUCCAAAGAUGGAUGAAAAGCGAGUAUACAUGGCGAAAGUCCCGUAUGCUAAUGCAGUUGGUAGCUUGUUGUAUGCAAUGGUGUGUAUGAGACCCGAAAUUUCACUGGCAGUUGGUGUGGUAAGCAGGUUUAUGCAUGAUCCUGGCAAUGGUCAUUGGCAAACUGUGAAAUGGAUUUUACGGUAUAUCCAAAAUACCAUAGAUACUGGAUUAGUAUUUGAGUAGGAUAAAUCACUUGGUCAAUGUGUAGUUGGAUAUUUUGAUUCUGACUAUGCGGGUGAUUUGGAUAAGCGACGUUCUACAACUGGCUACUUGUUCACGUUUGUUAAGCCGUCAGUUAGUUGGAAGUCUACUUUGCAGUCAACGGUGACUUUGUCUACAACGGAGGCAGAGUAUAUGGCGAUUACAAAAGCUGUGAUGGAGGCAAUUUGGCUUCAAGGAUUGCUUGAAGACUUGGGAGUUGGUAAAAAACACAUUGACGUGUUUUGUGACAGUUAGAGUGCUAUUCACUUAGCAAAGAACCAGGUCUUGCACGCAAGAACGAAGCACAUUGAUAUUCGCUAUCACUUUGUGCGGGAAAUUCUCGAAGAAGAUGAGAUUUUUCUCCAGAAAAUUCGAACUACGGAGAAUCUUGCAGAUAUGCUGACCAAGGUGGUUACAAGGUCCAAGUUUGAACAUUGUUUAGACUUGAUCAAUAUCCUGCACAUUUGAGUUGGAGCCUAAGGGUGCAAAUUUUGGAAGCACCGCAAGGACCGUUUGAUUUUUUGGGUAAGGAGAUUUGUAUUUUUGGGUGGGAUUAGAAAUUAUGCCAAGGUGAAAAUUUGUUGAAUUCAAAGCCUCAAUUGAUGACUUUUCCAAGCCAAAGUUGUGAAAUUUUUUGGCACAAUUCUAAUCCUACAUCGGUAGGAUUAUGAGAUAAGAGAGGUUUUGAGAAGUUAUAAAUAACUUCAUCUCUUCUCAAUUCAAAUGUAUCAAAAAUAAAAGAAUUACACCAAAAAGGAUUUUGUAAUUCUUUUGAAAUUCUUUCUUUUGCUAAAUUAUAGGAGCAGGCUGCUUGAGUGGUGCUCGGAUAUUAGGCAAAAUUUGCCGAACUCCAUUAUCAAUUUUUCGGGUGCGUUCUUUUCUUAUCUCUUUUAUUUAUUCCACACUUAUUUAGUAGUUUCUUUUCUAUUGAAGUAUAGUAUUUAAUAUAAAAGAAACUACUAAAUAAGUGCUGGAGGGAAACAAUCGUGUUCUCAACACUCGUGUGAAAGUGUCAUGGAGGGAAACAAUCUCUGGGUUAGAGAGAAUUUGUGUUCGAGCAGCAUCAAGCUCAAUUGAUAAUCCUGCAAGAAAACUCAUUACAACCAUUUGUUCCCGUUGAGACUGUUGAGUUUUUACAUCAGUACUAAAAGGAAUGAGAGAAUUCAAUUUCUCACAUACUCGUUUAAAAUCCAUAAAAUAUUCUGUAAGGAAUCUCUGCUAUUUUUUCGGACGAUAAAAUUCCUUGCAAACAUCAUAUAUAUGAUUUAAAUUACCUUUACCAGAAUACAAGAAAGCCAAAUAAUCCAUAAGAUCUUUAACAAACUCACAAUGAUUGAUGAGACUGACUAUCUCAUUAUCAAUAGAGUUUCGGAUCUGCAAAAAUAGUUUUGCAUUUCCUUUAGCCAAACCUUUUUUUCUUUCCCAUCAACAAGUGGGUCAUCAGUGAGAUGAUCAUCUCUAUCAAUGCUGCGCAGAUAUAUCCGAAUAGUUUUACUCCAAUUCAAAAAAAAAUUUCCACUUAGUUUGUGUUCAGUAAUCUUUCAAGUUGUAGGAAUAACAUCAGAAUGUUUUCAUCUCUCUACUACUACCUUUCAUAUCUGCCAUUAUAAUUCACACAAGAAAGAAUUAAAAGUGAUUCAAUAGGGUGACGUCAAAAAGCAAACUGAUAACAAAGCCUAAAAUUCUGAUACCAUGAAAACUAAGAAGAAAGGGAGAGAAAAUAUUCUUCUUCAUAUUCCAUUGGAUACACAGUGUACAAAUAUAUACACAAGUAUAAUCUAAUUUAGAUCCUAAAAUCAUGCUAAUCUAAAUCAAUUUAUUACCUAAUUAAUAUCUGAUACUAUAAUCAAAGCAAAUCAAAUCAAAUCUUUACUAAUAUCUACAAUAUCAAAUCUUUCUAUAAUAUCAUAUCACAUAUAUUCAACACUUACAUUCUCCUCUUUAGCAAUUGCAAAUGCAAAGGGAAAGACAUGAUUAGCAGCAUCCAAACUAUAAGCAAUAUAAAUCUUCUCCUUAUAUUUUUUGUAUUGAUGUGUCUCAUCUACACAAAUCACUGGUCUACAGUGGACGAACCCAUCACAUUUGCGAAAUUUGACUCCAAGAGUCCAAGAGUCCCAAAUCACUUUUGACUCCAAAUCACUUUUGAUGUGUCUCAUUUUCAUAAAAAAAAUUUUGAAAACCUGUAAGUACUCCAAAUAAUUUUUUCAAAACCUGUAAGUACUCCGCCUGCUCCUCAUUUGAAACUUAGCAGCAUAUUAUCUCCAAAGACGGAUGAAAAACGAGUAUACAUGGCGAAAGUCCCGUAUGCUAAUGCAGUUGGUAGCUUGUUGUAUGCAAUGGUGUGUACGAGACCCGAAAUUUCACAGGCAAUUGGUGUGGUAAGCAGGUUUAUGCAUAAUCCUGGCAAUGGUCAUUGGCAAGUUGUGAAAUGAAUUUUACGGUAUAUCCAAAAUACCGUAGAUGUUGGAUUAGUAUUUGAGUAGGAUAAAUCACUUGGUCAAUGUGUAGUUGGAUAUUUUGAUUCUGACUAUGCAAGUAAUUUGGAUAAGCGACGUUCUACAACUGGCUACUUGUUCACGUUUGCUAAGACGCCAAUUAGUUGGAAGUCUACUUUGCAGUCAACGGUGACUUUGUCUACAACGGAAGCAGAGUAUAUGGCGAUUACAGAAGCUGUGAAAGAGACAAUUUGGCUUCAAGGAUUGCUUGAAGACUUGGAAGUUGGUCAAAAACACAUUGACGUGUUUUGUGACAGUUAGAGUACUAUUCACUUAGCAAAGAACCAGAUCUUGCACGCAAGAACGAAGCACAUUGUUAUUCGCUAUCACUUUGUGCAGGAAAUUCUCGAAGAAGAGGAGAUUUUUCUCCAGCAAAUUCGGACUACGGAGAAUCUUACAGAUAUGCUGACCAAGGUGGUUACAAGGUCCAAGUUUGAACAUUGUUUACACUUGAUCAAUAUCCUGCACAUUUGAGUUGGAGCCUAAAGGCGCAAAUUUUGGAAGCACCACAAGGACCGUUUGAUUUUUUGGGUGAGAAGAUUUGUAUUUUUGGGUGGGAUUAGAAAUUAUGCCAAUGUGAAAAUUUGUUGAAUUCAAAGCCUCAAUUGAUGACUUUUCCAAGCCAAAGUUGUGGAAUUUUUUUGGCACAAUUCUAAUCCCACAUCGGUAGGAUUAUGAGAUAGGAGAGGUUUUGAGAAGUUAUAAAUAACUUCAUCUCUUCUCAAUUCAAAUGUACCAAAAAUAAAAGAAUUACACCAAAAAGGAUAUUGUAAUUCUUUUGAAAUUCUUUCUUCUAAAUUAUAGGAGCAGGCUGCUUGAUUGGUGCUCGGAGAUUAAGCAAAAUUUGUCGAACUCCGUUAUCAAUUUUUCAGGUGCGUUCUUUCCUUAUCUCUUUUAUUUAUUCCGCACUUAUUUUGUAAUUCUUUUCUAUUGAAGUAUAGUAUUCAAUAUAUUUGUUGGGUUUAUUUGUAGUGUUUUAUACAAUUCAUUUGGGUGUAUUUUCUUAUUCGUGUGUACGUAAUAUUUAUGUAUACACGGGUCUAGUUGUGAUAAUAUACCGUGCACGUAAAUUCUGUCUAGGAGACUGGGUUUUAAGUGGGAUCGCUUGUGACCCCUCCAGCCUGUUCUGGGAAUUUACUUGGAAUGGUAAUUCUGUCUAAGGAGAUUGUUUCGACGAUCUUUCUUGGGAAUUAUUGAAUCGAUUUAAUCACUAGUUGUAUUUUUGAGUGGGAAUAAAGGUCAUCCAUGUAGUGCAUGUCAAAGAGAACCAUGCGUGACCUUUCUCUAGUCACAUUUGCUGUUUUAGUUAAGUCAUUGUAAUAAGGGCUUAAUGGUCCAUAACCUUGCUUUAUUUAUCUAAGGGAUGACCUCAUAAGGUUCGGUCAAACCCACAAUUCUUAGUCUUAUGGAAAUAGUCAAGCCUACAAUUCUUAGUUUUAGUCAAAUCCACAAUUCUAGACUAGUUCCACAUUAUUUAGUUUUUCAUCUCUAUGUAAGGCUAUAAAUAGCCCACACUUCCAACGAUUUUAGGCAUGCAAUCAAUAAAUUAGAUUUUGAGAGUUUUUUUGGUUUCUCUAAGGCUUCUUGAAUACCUUAGAAUUUCUCUAGGUGUUCGUGACUUAUCAAUCUAGAAUCGCACUAGGUUGUGGCGUCCUCUACCAUUAUACCAAGGUUCGUUAACCACGUAAUUAACGGGUUGAGGUCAUCCGCUCCAAAUUUGGUAUCCUCUUGUCGAUCCUGAAGCUAAUCUUUUACGGGUUUCGUCACAAGGUUGGCAACGUUCGUAUCAGUUGGUAAUCAGAGUUAGUUAAGAGGUAUCACGUUAUAUCCCUUUAUUUAUUUCCUUUUCGAGUCAAGUUGUCCAAAAUUCUGUUUUUGUGUUCUAAGUUUGCUAUCCGUAAUUUCCAGAUUUGUUGCAUCGUGUUCUUGCAUUAUUUUUCCAGAUUUGUCGCAUCAUAAACUUGCGUCUAGUUGUUGUUAAUUGCUGUGGUUAGCCUUGUUUGGUCCAGCCUUUUUUUUUGUGUUCUUGUUGUUUAAAAUACAAAAAAAAUAUAGCCGGCUGACGUUAUGAAAUUCUUGAAAAUCUGUCUUGAUCAAAACUUGGGUUUCUUGAAGUUCUUGAUUGUUUAAAACCACAAUCUUGAAGUUUUUGGAACUUUAGUUGGGAUUCUUGAAGCCAACCAAAAUCUGUUUUGAUCAAAACUUGGAUUUCUUGAAGUUUUUUAUUGUUUAAAAUCACAAUCUUGAAGUUCUUGAAACAUUAGUUGGGAUUCUUGAAAGACUCCAGAAUUGACCAUUGAUAAGAAGAACAUUAAGCCAUGAAAUUUGACUCUUGAAAACCAACCUUCCUAAGCCACGAAAUUUGACUCUUGAAAGGUUUCAAAUUUGACCAUUGAUUGUGAUAAAUGCCCCCCUAAAAGCUAACCAUCGAAUAUUGAUGUCUAAGAGGCCCCAAGUCAAGUCAAUUUUUUUUUUCAGCUUAUUCAAGUCAAAUUUUCCAACCCAUUCAAAGUCAAAUUUUCCAACCCGUUCAAGUCAAAUUCUAGUUUCCAAAAAUAACCAAAUCAGUUCCAAUCUUGAUCUUGACCUUAGAAUUCGUGGGAACCAGCAAAUAGGAAGACUAAUCCUUGUUCCAAAGGAUUAAGGAAGAAAAGUCAGCCUUAGGUUUCUAAAACAGUCCCAUCGCAACACAAAUUCGUUUUCCAUUCGGAUUCCAUCUUUGCAACCGUUAGGGAAUUUCUGUCCAAUCAUUAAUUCUGGAAAUUUUCGUGCAUCAUUAGGCAGUUUUAAGUGUCAUUCUGAAUCUUCUAAGUGUCCAUUUACCUACCAAAACACUGACCAGAAAUGCACCAACCAGCAGCUCAAAAUUUCAGUUUUGUGUAGAGUUUUGUCUAGGAUCCUUAAAAUUCAAACUUUGAGUCAUUCAUUGAGUCGUGGUCAGUCCCUUCAUCUUUUAUUAUAAUCUUGUGACCCUGGUUGGUAAGUCGAUCCACACUAAAAGGAGUUCUAACUUCUUUGAGGAGUUGACCGAGCAGCCUUGAAAACACCUUGGUGAGUUCAUUAGAGUGUUCAAACACGAGAGCGAGAGUAAACACGUGAGGAAGUGUGCGAGAUAAACUUUGCUUCUUUCCAUUAUUAUUCUUUUUUACCCUAUAUUUCACCAUAGCUAACGAGGGGGGAGCAAAUUCCCAAGCUUUUGAUCUUAAACUUUUCACAGAAGCAAUCAAAGGCGAAUUGGAACGCAUGAUGGACCAAAAACUUGAACUGAUACACCAACGCAUUGACAGCUUAGAGUUGUCUCAUGGAAGCUCCAAAGGCAGCCGUGGAAAGGCUUAUGCACAUGAGUCUAGCGACUCUAACUCAGACAACAACUAUGAGCACAAGCAAAGUAGGUCCAAGCGUGAUGCUAGACUUUCAAAUGACCACUAAGGACGAUCAGACCCCAAUGCCUACUUAGAGUGGGAGAAGCGGAUUGAACUUGUCUUCGACUGCAAUAGUUACUCGGAAGAGCAAAAGGUCAAGUUGGCCGUGGCCGAAUUCACCGACUACGCCGUUGUGUGGUAGGAUCAACUCUCUACUAGUCGAAGGAGGAGUCGUGAACUUACCAUACAAACUUGGACGGAGCUAAGACGACUAAUGAGGAAGCGUUUGGUACCAAAUCACUACUACCGUGACUUGUAUCAAAAGCUUCAAACCCUCAACCAAGGAGUACGAAGUGUCGAGGACUAUCACAAGGAAAUGGAAAUACUCAUGCUACGGGCAGACAUCAUGGAGGAUCGAGAAGCAACAAUGGCACGCUUUUUGAACGGAUUAAGGCCCGAAAUCACUGAUCAAGUGGAGUUACACCACUAUGUGGAACUUGGGGACUUGGUGGAGAAGGCCAUCAAGAUUGAAAGGAGGAUUAAGAGGAGGGGUUCGACUCGGAGUUACUCCAACUUUUUACCCUCAUAUCCCCGAACUACACCACCAAAGAAAGAGGAUAAAGGGUCGAGUAAUUCCACCCCUUCAAGACCGAGGCCGGAUAUGACUAAGUAGGAGUCUAAGACAAUACCAAAGACUGCCAUUGAGUCGAGCAUGGAGCGAAAUCGAGAUACUAAAUGGUUCAAAUGCCAAGGCCGAGGGCAUAUUGCUAGCCAAUGCCCGAACCAAUGCACUAUGAUCAUCUUACUCAAUGGUGAGUUUCUCAUCGAUGAUGAAGAUGAGAAGGAGGAGUUGCCAUCCCUUGAGGAAGAAGAGGAAGCAUUGCCCGUCGAUGAACGAGUUGGACUCGUUGUCAGGCGAGCCUUAGCAACUCAAGUGAAAGCCGCCGACCAUGCACAAGGGGAGAAUAUUUUCUACACCCGUUGCUAUAUCAAAGGCAAUGUAUGUAGUUUGAUCAUAGAUGGAGGUAGUUGUGCUAACGUCGCUAGCGCCUUGAUGGUGAAAAAACUAGCACUACCCACUCUACGACAUCCAACACCUUAUUGUUUGCAAUGGUUGAACGAUAGCGGGGAUGUUCGUGUGACCAAGCAAGUCCAAGUAUCUUUCUGAAUUGGAAAGUAUGAAGACGUGGUGUUAUGCGACGUGGUCCCUAUGCAAGCAUGUCACAUAUUAUUGGGGAGAUCAUGGCAAUUUGACAAGGGAAUUACAUUCGAUGGCAUUACCAAUAAAUACUCCUUCAAGCAAGGCGAGAAGAGAAUUGUGCUUGUGCCACUCAUUCCUAUCCAAGUUCGUGAAAAUCAAGAAAGCCUGAUCAAGGAGAGUGAGCUUGAGAAUGAGAAGAAAAAAAUAGAAAAAGCUGAGAGCUCAACAGAAAAUGAUAAGGCCGAGAAAAUUGAGAGGAAAAAGACAUAUGGUGAGCCGGCCAAAAUUGAAAAGAGAGAGAAAAGGCAAAAUCUAUUGAUAAAAACCAAUGUAGUAAGAAAAAUUUUGAGUGUUAAUACACCCAUCUUUGUACUUUUGUGCAAAGAGGUGUUGGUUGUUACAAGUGAUCUUAUUAACACUCUACCAUCUAGUAUUGCCUCUCUUUUGCAGGAUUAUGAGGAUGUCUUCCCCGAUGAGAUUCCAAAUGGACUACCACCAAUAAGGAAAAUUGAGCAUCAAAUUGACUUGGUUCCAAGUGCCCUACUUCCUAACAGACCAGCCUACAAAAUGGGACCAGAUAAGACAAAGGAACUCCAACGCCAAAUCGAAGAGUUUCUAACAAAGGGAUGGGCAUGAGAAAGUUUGAGCCCAUGUGCGAUUCCCGUCAUCUUGGUGCCUAAAAAGGAUGGAAGUUGGCUAAUGUGCACUGACUAUAGGGCCGUUAAUGCAAUAACGGUAAAAUAUCGUCACCCUAUUCCUAGACUUGAUGAUAUGUUAGAUGAGCUAUAUGGUGCUGUGAUUUGCACUAAAAUUGAUCUAAAAAGCAGUUAUCAUCAAAUUAGGAUGAAAGAGGGGGAUGAAUGGAAAACGGCCUUUAAAACCAAACAUGACUUAUACGAGUGGUUAGUUAUGCCAUUUGGACUAACUAAUGCACCUAGUACGUUCAUGAGAUUGAUGAACCAUGUACUUCUCCAUUCCUUGAAAAAUUUGUAGUUGUGUAUUUUGACGAUAUCCCGAUUUAUAGUAGGAGCCUAGAUGAACAUGUGAAGCUUAUUCUUGAUGUAUUUCGAAGGGAAAAACUCUAUGCUAACCUUAAGAAAUGCUUUUUUGUACUGAUCAACUUGUCUUCUUAGACUUUGUUGUGAGUAAACAGGGAAUCAAAGUGGAUAAGGAGAAGGUUAAAGCAAUUCGAGAAUGACCUACUCCAAGCACGGUGGGUGGGGUAUGCAGCUUCCAUGGUCUUGCUAGUUUUUAUAGACGAUUUGUUAAAGAUUUUACUACUAUUGCUGCACCUGUAAUUGCUGUAAUUAAGAAAAAUGAGCCAUUUGUGUGGGGUGAUGCUCAAGAACGUGCUUUUCAAGUACUUAAACAUCAACUCACACACGCACCACUACUUGCAUUGCCAUGCUUUGACAAAAUGUUUAAAAUAGAGUGUGAUGCAUUUGGGGUGGGUAUUGGAGCUGUUCUAAUGCAAUAGGGCAAACCAAUUGCAUACUUUAGUGAAAAACUCAAUGGGACAGUUUUGAACUAUUUCACUUAUGAUAAGGAGUUGUACUUCUUAAUCCGUGCUUUAGAAACUUGGUAACAUUACUUGAGACCAAGGGAAUUUGUCAUACACACUGACCAUGAGUCGCUUAAACACAUUAAGUCACAACACAAGUUGAAUAAGCGUCAUGUUAGGUGGAUUGCAUUUAUUGAAAUCUUCCCUUAUGUGAUUAAGUACAAAGUGGCGAAAACUAAUGUUGUUGCUGAUGCAUUAUCACGCCGGUACUCUUUGCUCACUCAACUUGAUGCAAGGUUGUUAGGAUUUGAAUUAGUUAAAGAGUUAUACACCAAUGACCCAGAUUUCUCAGGUAUUUAUGACUCUUGUGGUUCAACAACUCAAGGUAAAUUCUACAUCCUUGAUGGAUUUCUUUUCUACUUCAAUCAACUGUGUAUACCUAACUGCUCUAUUCACUCUUUACUUGUUAAGGAAGCACACGGAGGUGGCUUGAUGGGACACUUUGGCGUGGCUAAAACCUUAGCUACCUUCAAGAGCACUUCCAUUGGCUAAGGAUGAAGCGAGAUGUGGAAUGAAUGGUGGCUAAAUGCAUCACGCUGUAGCUAUUUUCUUUUUUAUUUUAUCCUGCUUUCUCAAUUCAUGACUAUACAAAACAGAACAUACAGCAUCUAAAGACACAUUCUCCUUUCCAUGAAGUAACGUAGUUUCCAAAUGUUCAAAUUCAUCAGGAAGGGAUGAUAACAACAUCAAAGCCAAAUCUUCAUUUUCAAAUUUUACAUCUAAAUUUAACAGGUCUGCUACUAACUGAUUAAACAGUGAUGUGUUCAUUCAUAGUAGUACCUGGUUGGUAAUCAAAUCGGAACAAUCUUUUCUUCAUUAGGAGUUUAUUCGGACCACUCUUCUUCAGAAAUUUCUCCUCCAAUGCCCUCCACAAUUUCCAUGCAGAAGUCUCGUUCUUGAAAGCCUAUUUUUGCUCUCUGGACAAACACGAUCGAAUAGUUCCGCAUGCGAACCAAUUUAUAUUACUCCACUCCUUCUCUUCUAUGUCAUCUGAUUUCUUUUCUUCAAUGGCAAUGUCAAGACCCUGUUGGAAAAGGGAGUCUAAGACUUCCCCUUGUCACAUGCCGAAAUGGCCAGUACCGUCAAAUAUCUCCACCGCUAGUUUCGAACUUGACAUUGGAGUCCUCGGCCAUGUAGACGAGGAAACCGAUGCCUCGGAUGUAAUUCUUGACGUGAAAUUGUCAGAUGCCAUUACAAACUCAAAUGAUAGUAUUCAAUAUAACAAACUACAAACAAACCAAAGGACGAACCUUCGGCUCUGAUACCACAAUAUGUCUCCCAUGCGGGAGUGAUUCUUUGAAUUUGAAGAACUUGAUGGUGGAGUUGUGUACAUGGAAAAUGACAAUCCAUGUAAAACAGGUGGGAUAGGUUCAAUCAAGCUGCGUAAUCAUGAUGGAUCCACUAGAAUAUUGAAGGAUGUUCGGUACGUGCCAAAUUUAAAGAAGAAUCUCACCUCCUUGGGACUCUUGGAACUCUCACAAUUGCGAAAGAGGAGAAUGUAAGUGUUGAAGAUAUGUGAUAUGAUAUUAUAGAAAGAUUUGAUAUUGUAGAUAUUAGUAAAGAUUAGAUUAGAUUUGCUUUGAUUAUAGUAUCAGAUAUUAAUUAGGUAAUAAAUUGAUUUAGAUUAGUAUGAUUUUAGGAUCUAAAUUAGGUUAUACUUGUGUAUAUAUUUGUACACUGUGUAGUCCAAAGGAAUAUGAAGAAGAAUAUUUUCUCUCCCUUUCUUCUUAGUUUUCAUGGUAUCAGAAUUUUAGGCUUUGUUAUCAAUUAGCUUUUUGACGUCACCCUAUUGAAUCACUUUUAAUUCUUUCUUGUGUGAAUUAUAAUGGCAGAUAUGAAAGAUAGUAGUAGAGAGAUGAAAACAGUAAUUUCUGAUAUUAUUCCUAUAACUUGAAAGAUUACUGAACACAAAUUGAGUGGAAAAAGAGGACAACGUGGUUUUAUGUUUUUAAUUGUAACUAUAUUGUGACCAUUUUGCCCUUGAUAUGGGUAAAAUUGGCAAUUCAAAAAAUGACAUAUUCUUUUAACACCAAACCCUACUCACACUUUAUAUAUAGACUAGCUAUCGAGACACACUCGAUACAUGUGCAACUCGUCCAAAAAUAUUACUAGUUCUUUAAAUACAAUUUUUGGCUGCAAAUUUAGGUGUAAAGAAAAGUAAAUUAAGUUGUGAAAUGUUGGGUUUUCACUUCUCUCGUGAUGAUAUGAAGGAGCAUAUAAAAUGAUAUUGGCCCUGUCUCAGUUUCAGCAGUUAUUUCUUGAGUUCUUCAAGUUAAAAGUUGUGCAAGUCAAAUUUGUUACCAGGCUCAUGCAUUCUGCAAGUCAGUUCUGCUUGAUGGGUCCAUAAAUCUCCUCCUCUCAACAAAUCAAUAACCUUUCUAAAGUAUUUGCUCCCAUAAUCAGUACCAAUCUAAAACUCCAUAUUCUCAAGUAACUGGAUCUUAGAAGUUAAAACAGUACAAACUUCUGGAAUGUCUUCUAUUUACAUUCAUAGUAAGCGUUAAAAGGUAAAAUAUACAGAUUGCAAAUGGUUGCACACAAAAGGCAGCACAGGUCUUGCGAAAAAGACAUACACCACUUGAAAAUUAUCUAGUAGGAGAAUGGGGAGUCAGUCAAACUACUAGCAGGAUGGACCUAAAACAAUCACAGAGCUUAAACUAGAUGUUGCUGAGUUUAUUAAAUUCCUUUCACCUUAUUGGCUAUGAGAUUGGAUAGUAAAUACCUAAUGUUGCUAAUUCAGUUCAAGUGCUUGCCUUUCUUCUUUCCCUUUAAAGAUGUGGAAUUCCAUUGAAAAAAAAAAUACCUAAGUAGUAAAUUUUUUUACUUAUUUUUUUUCAAAACCUGACUUAUUAAAAAGCCCACGAUAUAAUUAGUGCAUAUUCAUACCACAUUUAAAGUGCCAUAAAUAUUUUAAUCAUGUACACAAACUCUCAUAUGAGAACAACAACAUUGUACAAUUGUACAUCAAAGCCUUUAACAAAAUAAAUUAAUAGUGGAUGAUUGGGUCAGCCAUUAUCCAAUAACUAUCUAUACCUCAGUUUCAAUGCUAUGCUGUAGGAAACAAUGCUAACAGCCAGAAGGAAGAAGCAAUAUUAGGUGAAUAAAGAGCUCAAAAGCACAGGUUAAAUUGCUUACACUACAAGUUAAACUAGUUUCCCAACAGUACACAAGUGAAGAGCUUAAAAACAGAUUCAAGGCCAUAAACUUAUCAAGAUAAGCGCAACAGGCAAAUGUCUAAAUAUAUAAUAAUAGAUGAAUGCCAUCAAGUAUAUUUGCAGAAGUGAGAAGCUUUUAUCAUUUCAGCUGGUAUAUAUGAUGGAGCUUUCCCUGCCAGUCCAGUCCAAAUAAGAAUGCUAAGUUGUAACUUGUAAAUCAAUAAUUAUCAAAUGGAUGUCUUAAGUCAAACACUGAGGUAGAAAAUUUCAGAUAACCCUGUCAAGUAUUAGAGCUGAUAGCAAAUACAAGAUGUUGGAUAUGUCAAAACACAGCUGGCAUGGUGCAACUCAUGAUAAAAAAAAAAAAAAAAUUCCCUAGUCAGCCAUGGAAGAGAUUAUAUUCUCCUUUUACAGGAUAUUAUCAUCAGAAAAGUACUUGGAGAACAAGAUAAUUUACCCAUCAGAGUGCAAAUCAACUGUUGAACUUGUCAUUUCUUUUAUGUUCAAGAUUCCACUAGUAUAAUACUAUUAGCUUGCUAGUAAUGGCUACCAUACAGAAAGCAUUAAUGGGCAAUUUGCAGAAACAAGAAGAAAGGAAAGAUUUUUGCAAUGGAGUCUGCUGACUACAAAACGUUUACACCCCAUCUCCAACAGGAAACAACAAAACAAUACAAAAUAACCAAAGUCCACAAGGUGGUAGGAAUCUUUUACUGGCACAAGAUGCUAAAAUGUCAACAAUGAAGUUAAUACUUCAUACGCCUUUUCUAUCUCUUUGCACAAGGUGUAAAAUGGAAAAAAAAUACAAGUAACAAGGAACCAUAGCAUGGCCUAAAGUAAACAAUUCGAAACAACUGAAAGCCUUUAUUUGAAUAAGGACAAGUGUCCUAGAACUCUUAAAAAAAAUUCCUAAAAUUCAUCAUCAUACAAACUUUUGUAUUUUUAAGUUUGUGGUUCUUAGGGGAAAAAAUUCUUUUUUGUGGUUCUUGGGAAAAAGCACACACUUUGACUCUUUUGUCCACGAAUUUUCAGUUUUAUCAAUUAUUUGUCAUCUUUGUGGAAUGUAAAGACUAUUAGCCAUUUGAAUUGUCCUUUUUGCCUUUUAAACCUCAAACAAGAGAGGAUGCCAAAAUUUUUCUUCAAUGCCUAUCCUCUCCUCUCUCCUUUUCUUACCUACAAACAGAAAACUAACAUUUUUUAAAUAGCUAGGGAAAGCUAUUGAAAUCCGCCCCCAUUAAAGUGUAGCUAGGAAAGAAAAAUGACUUUCCUCCAAGUACUAAUUAGAAUAGAAAAAUAUAAAAGAAAAAGGAAAACUUUAUCUGAAAGCAGGUAUUGUCCGCAUAAAAAAUUGUCCAGACCAUACACAGUUGUAGCUACCAAUUACAACACAGAAUUCUUGAAUACUAAAUGUUGUUCUAGAAGACAACUUGCACAACUGAUCUUCAGUGCUUAAAGAAGUCAAAUUACAAGGCAAUUUCUGUUUCUGAUAGUUCCAUCAAGGUUAUGCUUCACUACUGCUUAUAAAUCCAACGUAUGGCUUUUACAAAUAUAGCUCAAAGUUGCUGUCAUGGAUUUAAUUAAUACUUAUACUAAGAGUUGGUAGGAAUUAGCUAUGUAAUUAGUCUAAGAAUACAGCUAUGUAAUUAGUCUAAGAUAGCUGCUGUAAUUAGUCUAAGAAUACAGCUAUAUAUAGUCUGUAAUUACAGACUAUAUACAGCUGUACAUGGCUGACCAUUUAACCUAGUUACUUGUAUAAAUAGAUCAAUGAAAUAUAUGGAAUAUAGACUUUUUAGCAUAAUUAAUAACUUGGUAUCAGAGCAUUGGGGUUUUUCCUUGCUCUCCUCUUUUCUGAAAAUUCCAGCCAUUCUUUCAAUAGCCCACACUGCUGAAAUUUCUUCUCUAAAACACUAAUCACAUCACAAUAUGUCAACCAAACCUGAUGUCUAAUCUCCCCCUGAAGAGAAACCGCAGACAUAUGUCCAGAAAAAUAAGACUCAUUUUCACAAAAUUGAACAUCCAUAGACACAUAGUAGGUUCUUGUAGGAGGAUGAAAACAUUUAUAUCCCUUUUGUGAAUUAGAAUAGCCAAGGAAAACACAUUUGAUAGCACGAGGAUCAAGUUUAUCUCUAUGAUGAGAAUGAACAUGAACAUAGCAUACACAACCAAAAAUCUUUGGACAAAUAUUAAGAGCAGAAGGAAUAGAAUGAAAUUUAGAUAACAUUCUCAAAGGGGUUUGGAAAUCAAUAACCUUAGCAGGCAUUCGAUUAAUGAGAAAAACAGCAGCCAUAAUAGCUUCAGCCCAAAAAUGUUUUGGAACAUGCAUAGUAAAACAUAAGGCUCGUGCUACUUCAAGAAAGUGACGAUUUUUCCGUUCUGCUGGGGUGUGUAAACACAAGUGGUUUGAUGAAGAAUGCCAUGUUGUAUCAUAAAAUCAGCAAGAGAUCGAUUCACAAAUUCACGACUAUUAUCAGCUCACAAACCCCAAUGCUCUGAUUAUACCCCAAUGUCUAUAUUUCAUAUAUUUCAUUGAUCUAUUUAUACAAGUAACUAGGUUAAAUGGUCAGCCAUGUACAGCUGUAUAUAGUCUGUAAUUACAGACUAUAUACAGCUGUAUUCUUAGACUAAUUACAGCAGCUAUCUUAGACUAAUUACAUAGCUAAUUCCUACCAACUCUCCCCCUCAAGUUGGGGCAUAGAUAUCACAAAUGCCCAACUUGGAUAGAGAUGCAUUGAAUAAGUUACUAGUAACAGCAUGAGUCAUAAUAUCAACUGAUCUGAACUUCUAGUAUAGGGAAUUUCAAUUGUCCCGGAAUCAAGAUUAUCUUUGAUGUAGUUCCUAUCAAUUUCAACAUGCUUUGUCCGAUCAUGUUGAACAGGAUUAUUUGCAAUCUUAAUGGCUGCCAUAUUAUCACAAAAUAAUACCAUAGGACCAAACCCAAUCUCCUUUAAGAGAAUUUUCAGCCAAGAGAGUUCUGUGAUAGCAUGAUGCAUAGCUCGAUAUUCAGCCUCUGCACUAGAUAAUGAAACCACGUUCUAUUUUUUACUUUUCCAAGACACCAAGUUGCCUCCAACAAAAGCCAAAUAUCCAGAAGUUGAUUUUCUAUCUAACUUGCUACCAGUAAAAUCAGAGUCUGUAUAUCCAACAACAUCAAAAUGUUCGUGUUUGGAGAAUAAGACACAUUUUCCUGGAGCUGAUUUCAAGUAAGCCAAGAUUCGAUUAACAGCAUUCAUGUGUUGAUCACUUGGAUUGUGCAUAAACUGGCUAAUAACACUGACUGCAUAUGCUAAAUCUGGCCUGGUAUGAGUUAAAUAGAUUAGUCUACCCACAAUCUUUUGAUAUCUUUCCUUGUUUGUUGGAAUCUGAUCAGAAAAGAAGGCUAGGCCAUGAUUCACUUCAAUCGGAGUAUCUAUCGGCUCACACGCAGACAUACCAGUUUCAGCUAGGAGUUCCAAUGUAUACUUCCUUUGGGAAAGGAAGAGUCCUUGCUUAGACCGUGAUACUUCAAUGCCAAGAAAAUAUUUAAGAGUCCCCAAAUCUUUAAUCUCAAAUUCUUUGGCCAAGUAGUUUCGAAGGUUCUCUAUUUCUUCUUUGUUAUUACCUGUUACAAUCAUAUCAUCAACAUAGACAAGAAGCACGGUAAUAUCAUUGUAGUUACGUUUAUAGAACAGCGUGUGAUCUGCUGAAGCUUGCUUGAAUCCAUACUCCUCCAUGGCAUGACUCAAUCUUCCAAACCAUGCCCUUGGUGAUUGUUUUAAUCCAUACAAUGCCUUUUUCAGUCUGCAUACCUUUCCUUCUUCUAGUGUAAACCCUUGAGGAGGAUCCAUGAAAACUUCCUCAGUCAACUCACCAUAAAGAAAGGCAUUCUUCACAUCAAAUUGUCGUAGAGGCCAGUCUAAAUUAACUGCAAGUGACAAUAUAACUCGAACAGUGUUCAUUUUGGCAACCGGUGCAAAUGUCUCUUGAUAGUCAAUACCAUAGGUUUGAGUGUAGCAUUUUGCAACCAGUCUAGCUUUGUAUCUUUCAACUGCCCCAUCAGACUUGUGUUUGACAUUGAAUACCCAUUUACACCCUACGGUCUUCUUUCCCAUUGGUAACUCAACCAUUUCCCAAGUAGAAUUCUUUUGGAGAGCCAUCAUUUCUUCUACCAUUGCAUUUUUCCACUUAGGAUCAUCAAGGGCUUCCUGAAAAUGACUAGGAACAUAUACAGAAGACAACUGAAGAGCAAAUGUCAAGUUAGCCUUAGACAAACGGAGAUAGGAUAUAAAAUCAGAAAUUGGAUAAGAAACAUUGGAAGCUUUUGAAAAACCAAGUCUAUCAUGUUCUUUUCGUUCACGAAGAGGAUAUCUUCUAUUCUGAUCAAUAUUAGGAUAUGAGUCGAGACUUUCAGAAGAAGUACAUACCUUAGUGUCAAUCUUGGAAGAUUCAUUCGAUAGCAUGGUAGUAUCAACAAGGGAGGUACAAGAAUCAGGAGGCAUAACAGUGGUAUCUUUUGUUCUCCUAGAAUAUCCUUUCUCAAAGAGAUGAGCGGGUCUCUCACUAUUAGUUUCAAUUUUAUUUUCCUGACCAUCAUCUAAAACUAAGGAUUCCCCGUUUUCCUUUGCAUUCUCUAUACCUGAGAUCCGAAUCCUUUUUUCUCCUAGCCAUUGUUCUUCCUCUUCUCUACUUUUAAUCUCCCCCUGAAGAGGAACCGCAGACAUAUGUCCAGAAAAAUAAGACUCAUUUUCACAAAAUUGAACAUCCAUAGACACAUAGUAGGUUCUUGUAGGAGGAUGAAAAUAUUUAUAUCCCUUUUGUGAAUUAGAAUAGCCAAGGAAAACACAUUUGAUAGCACAAGGAUCAAGUUUAUCUCUAUGAUGAGAAUGAACAUGAACAUAGCAUACACAAUCAAAAACCUUUGGACAAAUAUUAAGAGCAGAAGGAAUAGAAUUAAAUUUAGAUAACAUUCUCAAAGGGGUUUGGAAAUCAAUAACCUUAGCAGGCAUUCGAUUAAUGAGGAAAACAGCAGCCAUAAUAGCUUCAACCCAAAAAUGUUUUGGAACAUUCAUAGUAAAACGUAAGGCUCGUGCUACUUCAAGAAAGUGACGAUUUUUCCGUUCUGCUGUGCCAUUCUGCUGGGGUGUGUAAACACAAGUGGUUUGAUGAAGAAUGCCAUGUUGUAUCAUAAAAUCUGCAAGAGAUCGAUUCACAAAUUCACGACCAUUAUCAGAAUGAAAAACCUUAAUUUUAGUGUUGAAUUGAGUAAGAAUCAUGUUAUAAAACUGAGGAAUAAUAUGACAAACAUCACUCUUAGAUUUCAUCAAAUACACCCAACUGACUCUAGUACAGUCAUCAAUAAAAGAUACAAAAUAUUUAUGUCCUGAAGUAGAAGUAGUUGAGAAAGGACCCCACACAUCAGUAUAAACACAUGAAAAGGAGUGACACUUUUAUUAAAACUAACUUUGAAAGGAACACGAUGGUUUUUUGCAUAAACACAUUGUUCACAUCUUAAGCUAGAAGUUGAAAUAUUGGAAAAUAACUUAGGAAACAUAUGCUCUAAAUAAGAAAAAGAUGGAUGUCCUAGUCGACGAUGCCACAGGAUUAUUCUUUCUAUUUCUAAUGUCCCACUUUUUGUUUGAAGACCUCGAGUAGAUAUUGUUAUGCCUUGAUUGUCUUCCCAGUAAUAUAAACCAUCCAUCUCCUUACCAAUGCCAAUCGUCAUCUUCGUAAGAUUGUCCUGAAAAACACAAUGAGUAGAGUGAAAAAUGACAGAACAGUUAAGAUGCUUUGUUAUUUUACUAAUGGAGAGGAGAUUAUUUGAGAGUUUAGGUGCAAGUAAAACAGAGGACAUAGAAAACUUUGGUGAAAGAGACACAUUUCCAGCGGCUAUGAUUGGUGUAAAAUUUCCAUUAGCAACCUGUACAGACUUCACAGGUGGAGAUGUAAGAGAGUCAAUGAUAGAAGAGUUACUAGUCAUGUGAUCAGUAGCCCCUGAAUUAAUAAUCCAAGUGCUAGGAUGAGCAGAAAUAACGGACAAACCAAAAAUACCUUCUUGAGAAGAUGCCCGAGACACAUGAGAAGCAGAAGAUGGAGUAGUGUCUAUAGCAACAUUUUGAGCAACAGUAUUAUGAGCAAAUUUUUUAUUUUUCCUCUCAACUUGCUUAAGUUUAUACCAUUCUGGAUAGCCAUGCUUCUUCCAACAAACAUCAAUUGUAUGUGUAUUCUUAUUGCAGUAGGUGCAAAAUCGAGACUGAGAGGCUGUAGAAUUUCCAUUAAUGGUAAUAGGAGUGCUCUUUUGAACAGUUAGAGCUGAAGCCUCAAAGUGUGAUGCUGCUCUCAUGGCAACUUGUCUCUGUAGUUCUCGACGAACCAUGGAGUAGACUUCUUCUAAUCUUGGUAAAGGAGAAGUACCUAGAACACGGCUGCGAACUUGAUCUAACUUAUUAUCAAGCCCAGCAAGAAAAAUAUAAACUCGAUCUUCGGCAAUACGAUUUCUAUAUUUUUUCAUAUCAGCAGCACAUGUCAUGUCAUUGGGCCGUCGAUAAUCGAGCUCCAUAAAGGUUGAGUUUAAUUCGUUGUAAUAUUCUGCUAGAGGCCGACCAUCUUGUUGUAAAUGAAAAGUCUUCUUCAUUAGCUCAUAAACUUCAGAGGAAUCUGAUACAUCAAGAUAACUUCUUUUUACAGCAUCCCAAACUUCCUUUGAUGUGCCGCAUUGUACAAAGUGAGAUAUCAGAUUAUCACUCAUUGAAUUAAUGAGCCAAGAUUUGACAAGAGAAUCUUCAGCUUCCCAUUCAUCAUAACUUGAAUCAUAUACUGCUGGUGCAGCUUUUUUUCCAUUAAUAUAGCCCUUUUUUUUUUCUUCCAGCAAUAUGCAUCUCCAAAAUCUUGGACCAAACUCGAUAAUUAGUGCCAUCCAAUUUAAUGUGGAUGGAAGAAAAAGCAUCUUGUAUGGUUAGAGUGGAGAGAUUCUUGCUGUUAGGAGAUUCAACAUCAGGUUUGGUUGACAUAUUGUGAUGUGAUUAGUGUUUUAGAGAAGAAAUUUCAGCAGUGUGGGCUAUUGAAAGAAUGGCUGGAAUUUUCAGAGAAGAGGAGAGCAAGGAAAAACCCCAAUGCUCUGAUUAAACCGAUUUUGGGGUCACAAGCGGUCCCACUUAAAAUCCAGUCUCCUAGACAGAAGUUACGUGUACGGUGUAUUAUCACAACUAUACCCGUGUAUACAUAAAUAAUACGUACACACAAAUAAGAAAAAUACACCCAAAUGAACCGUAUAAAACACUACAAAUAUACCCGACAAAUAUAGACAAAUAUAUUUGUUGAAUCAAAGCCACAAUUGUGGACUUUGACAAUUUUUUCACAGCUCACAAUUGUGGAUUUUGGUGGCAGAAAUAUUCAUCCCACAUCGAUAGGUUCAUGAAUUGGUGAAGGAUUUGAGAGCUAUAAAUAAUCUCUCAAUCCUUCCAAUUGAAUGGUACCAAGAACAACAAAGAAUUACCCAUAAGGAUUUUGUAAUUCUUUGUAUUCUUUCUUCUCUCCUAAAUUAAAAAAGUAGGCUACUUGAGUGGUGCUCGGAGAGUAGGCAAAAUUGGCCGAACUCCGUUAUCAAUUUUUCGGGUGCGUUUUUUCAUUAUCUCUUUUAUUUGUUCCGUAUUUAUUUAUUAGUUUCUUUUCUAUUGUAGUAUAGUAUUCAAUAUAUCUGUCUAUAUUUGUCGGGUAUAUUUGUAGUGUUUUAUACGGUUCAUUUGGGUGUAUUUUUCUUAUUCGUGUGUACGUAUUAUUUAUGUAUACACGGGUAUAGUUGUGAUAAUACACCGUGCACGUAAGUUCUGUCUAGCAGACUGGAUUUUAUGUGGGACCGCUUGUGACCCCUCCAACCUUUUCUGGGAAUUUAUUUGGAAUGGUAAUUCUGUCUAAGGAGAUUGUUUCGACGAUCUUUCUUGAAAAUUACUGAAUCGGUUUAAUCACUAGUUGUAUUUUUUGAGAGGAAAAUUACCCGAUUUCCCCAACAAGUGGUAUCAGAGCCGAAGGUUCGUCCUUUGGCUUGUUUGUAGUUUGUUAUAUUGAAUACUAUUUUUGAGUCUGUAAUGGCAUCAAACAAUUUCACGUCAAGAAUUAUAUCUGGGGCAUCGGCUUCCUCGUCCAGAUGGUCGAGAAUUCCAAUGUCAAGUUUGAAGGUGGCGGUUGAGACAUUUGACGGUACUUUCUCAAGAUGGUAAGCGAUUGACGAGAUGUUGAGCGUAUGUCACAGCCUCAGCCCAAAACUUUCUGCCUAACCCAGCAUUAGACAGCAUGCAACGUACUUUCUCCACUAGUGUCUUGUUCAUACGCUCUGACACCCCAUUCUGCUGCGGUGUUUUUCUACUUGAGAAAGUACCGUCAAAUGUCUCCACCGCCACCUUCAAACUUGACAUUGGAAUUCUCGACCAUCUGGACGAGGAAGCCGAUGCCCCAGAUAUAAUUCUUGACGUGAAAUUGUUUGAUGCCAUUACAGACUCAAAAAUAGUAUUCAAUAUAACAAACUACAAACAAGCCAAAGGACGAACCUUCGGCUCUGAUACCACUUGUUGGGGAAAUCGGGUAAUUUUCCACUCAAAAAAUACAACUAGUGAUUAAACCGAUUCAGUAAUUUCCAAGAAAGAUCGUCGAAACAAUCUCCUUAGACAGAAUUACCAUUCCAAAUAAAUUCCCAGAAAAGGCUGGAGGGGUCACAAGCGGUCCCACAUAAAAUCCAGUCUGCUAGACAGAACUUACGUGCACGGUGUAUUAUCACAACUAUACCCGUGUAUACAUAAAUAAUACGUACACACGAAUAAGAAAAAUACACCCAAAUGAACCGCAUAAAACACUACAAAUAUACCCGACAAAUAUAGACAGAUAUAUUGAAUACUAUACUACAAUAGAAAAGAAACUAAUAAAUAAAUACGGAACAAAUAAAAGAGAUAAUGAAAAAACGCACCCGAAAAAUUGAUAACGGAGUUCGGCCAAUUUUGCCUACUCUCCGAGCACCACUCAAGUAGCCUACUUUUUUAAUUUAGGAGAGAAGAAAGAAUACAAAGAAUUACAAAAUCCUUAUGGGUAAUUCUUUGUUGUUCUUGGUACCAUUCAAUUGGAAGGAUUGAGAGAUUAUUUAUAGCUCUCAAAUCCUUCACCAAUUCAUGAACCUAUCGAUGUGGGAUGAAUAUUUCUGCCACCAAAAUCCACAAUUGUGAGCUGUGAAAAAAUUGUCAAAGUCCACAAUUGUGGCUUUGAUUCAACAAAUAUAUUUGUCUAUAUUUGUCGGGUAUAUUUGUAGUGUUUUAUACGGUUCAUUUGGGUGUAUUUUUCUUAUUUGUGUGUACGUAUUAUUUAUGUAUACACGGGUAUAGUUGUGAUAAUACACCGUACACGUAACUUCUGUCUAGGAGACUGGAUUUUAAGUGGGACCGCUUGUGACCCCAAAAUCGGUUUAAUCAGAGCAUUGGGGUUUUUCCUUGCUCUCCUCUUCUCUGAAAAUUCCAGCCAUUCUUUCAAUAGCCCACACUGCUGAAAUUUCUUCUCUAAAACACUAAUCACAUCACAAUAUGUCAACCAAACCUGAUGUUGAAUCUCCUAACAGCAAGAAUCUCUCCACUCUAACCAUACAAGAUGCUUUUUCUUCCAUCCACAUUAAAUUGGAUGGCACUAAUUAUCGAGUUUGGUCCAAGAUUUUGGAGAUGCUUAUUGCUGGAAGAAAAAAAAAGGGCUAUAUUAAUGGAAAAAAAGCUGCACAAGCAGUAUAUGAUUCAAGUUAUGAUGAAUGGGAAGCUGAAGAUUCUCUUGUCAAAUCUUGGCUCAUUAAUUCAAUGAGUGAUAAUCUGAUAUCUCACUUUGUACAAUGCGGCACAUCAAAGGAAGUUUGGGAUGCUGUAAAAAGAAGUUACCUUGAUGUAUCAGAUUCCUCUGAAGUUUAUGAGCUAAUGAAGAAGACUUUUCAUUUACAACAAGAUGGUCGGCCUCUAGCAGAAUAUUACAACGAAUUAAACUCAACCUUUAUGGAGCUCGAUUAUCGACGGCCCAAUGACAUGACAUGUGCUGCUGAUAUGAAAAAAUAUAGAAAUCGUAUUGCCGAAGAUCGAGUUUAUAUUUUUCUUGCUGGGCUUGAUAAUAAGUUAGAUCAAGUUCGCAGCCGUGUUCUAGGUACUUCUCCUUUACCAAGAUUAGAAGAAGUCUACUCCAUGGUUCGUCGAGAACUACAGAGACAAGUUGCCAUGAGAGCAGCAUCACACUUUGAGGCUUCAGCUCUAACUGUUCAAAAGAGCACUCCUAUUACCAUUAAUGGAAAUUCUACAGCCUCUCAGUCUCGAUUUUGCACCUACUGCAAUAAGAAUACACAUACAAUUGAUGUUUGUUGGAAGAAGCAUGGCUAUCCAGAAUGGUAUAAACUUAAGCAAGUUGAGAGGAAAAAUAAAAAAUUUGCUCAUAAUACUGUUGCUCAAAAUAUUGCUAUAGACACUACUCCAUCUUCUGCUUCUCAUGUGUCUCGGGCAUCUUCUCAAGAAGGUAUUUUUGGUUUGUCCGUUAUUUCUGCUCAUCCUAGCACUUGGAUUAUUGAUUCAGGGGCUACUGAUCACAUGACUAGUAACUCUUCUAUCAUUGACUCUCUUACAUCUCCACCUGUGAAGUCUGUACAGGUUGCUAAUGGAAAUUUUACACCAAUCAUAGCCGCUGGAAAUGUGUCUCUUUCACCAAAGUUUUCUAUGUCCUCUGUUUUACUUGCACCUAAACUCUCAAAUAAUCUCCUCUCCAUUAGUAAAAUAACAAAGCAUCUUAACUGUUCUGUCAUUUUUCACUCUACUCAUUGUGUUUUUCAGGACAAUCUUACGAAGAUGACGAUUGGCAUUGGUAAGGAGAGGGAUGGUUUAUAUUACUGGGAAGACAAUCAAGGCAUAACAAUAUCUACUCGAGGUCUUCAAACAAUGUUUUUCAUGUGUUUAUACUGAUGUGUGGGGUCCUUUCUCAACUACUUCUACUUCAGGACAUAAAUAUUUUGUAUCUUUUAUUGAUGACUGUACUAGAGUCAGUUGGGUAUAUUUGAUGAAAUCUAAGAGUGAUGUUUGUCAUAUUAUUCCUCAGUUUUAUAACAUGAUUCUUACUCAAUUCAACACUAAAAUUAAGGUUUUUCAUUCUGAUAAUGGUCGUGAAUUUGUGAAUCGAUCUCUUGCUGAUUUUAUGAUACAACAUGGCAUUCUUCAUCAAACCACUUGUGUUUACACACCCCAGCAGAAUGGUACAGCAGAACGGAAAAAUCGUCACUUUCUUGAAGUAGCACGAGCCUUAUGUUUUACUAUACAUGUUCCAAAACAUUUUUGGGCUGAAGCUAUUAUGGCUGCUGUUUUCCUCAUUAAUCGAAUGCCUGCUAAGGUUAUUGAUUUCCAAACCCCUUUGAGAAUGUUAUCUAAAUUUUAUUCUAUUCCUUCUGCUCUUAAUAUUUGUCCAAAGGUUUUUGGUUGUGUAUGCUAUGUUCAUGUUCAUUCUCAUCAUAGAGAUAAACUUGAUCCUCGUGCUAUCAAAUGUGUUUUCCUUGGCUAUUCUAAUUCACAAAAGGGAUAUAAAUGUUUUCAUCCUCCUACAAGAACCUACUAUGUGUCUAUGGAUGUUCAAUUUUGUGAAAAUGAGUCUUAUUUUUCUGGACAUAUGUCUGCGGUUCCUCUUCAGGGGGAGAUUAAAAGUAGAGAAGAGGAAGAACAAUGGCUAGGAGAAAAAAGGAUUUGGAUCUCAGGUAUAGAGAAUGCAAAGGAAAACGGGGAAUCCUUAGUUUUAGAUGAUGGUCAGGAAAAUAAAAUUGAAACUAAUAGUGAGAGACCCGCUCAUCUCUUUGAGAAAGGAUAUUCUAUGAGAACAAAAGAUACCACUGUUAUGCCUCCUGAUUCUUGUACCUCCCUUAUUGAUAGUACCUCCCUUGUUGAUACUACCAUGCUAUCGAAUGAAUCUUCCAAGAUUGACACUAAGGUAUGUACUUCUUCUGAAAGUCUCGACUCAUAUCCUAAUAUUGAUCAGAAUAGAAGAUAUCCUCUUGGUGAAUGAAAAGAACCUGAUAGACUUGGUUUUUCAAAAGAUUCCAAUGUUUCUUAUCCAAUUUUUGAUUUUAUAUCCUAUCACCGUUUGUCUAAGGCUAACUUGACAUUUGCUCUUCAGUUGUCUUCUGUAUAUAUUCCUAGUCAUUUUCAGGAAGCCCUUGAUGAUCCUAAGUGAAAAAAUGCAAUGGUAGAAGAAAUGAUGGCUCUCCAAAAGAAUUCUACUUGGAAAAUGGUUGAGUUACCAAUGGGAAAGAAGACCGUAGGGUGUAAAUGGGUAUUCAAUGUCAAACACAAGUCUGAUGGGGCAGUUGAAAGAUACAAAGCUAGACUAGUUGCAAAAGGCUACACUCAAACCUAUGGUAUUGACUAUCAAGAGACAUUUGCACCGGUUGCCAAAAUGAACACUGUUCGAGUCAUAUUGUCACUUGCAGUUAAUUUAAACUGGCCUCUACGACAAUUUGAUGUGAAGAAUGCCUUUCUUCAUGGUGAGUUGACUGAGGAAGUUUUCAUGGAUCCUCCUCAAGGGUUUACACUAGAAGAAGGAAAGGUAUGCAGACUGAAAAAGGCAUUGUAUGGAUUAAAACAAUCACCAAGGACAUGGUUUGGAAGAUUGAGUCAUGCCAUGGAGGAGUAUGGAUUCAAGCAAGUUUCAGCAGAUCACACGCUGUUCUAUAAACGUAACUACAAUGAUAUUACCGUACUUCUUGUCUAUGUUGAUGAUAUGAUUGUAACAGGUAAUAACAAAGAAGAAAUAGAGAACCUUCGAAGCUACUUGGCCAAAGAAUUAGAGAUUAAAGAUUUGAGAACUCUUAAAUAUUUUCUUGGCAUUGAAGUAUCACGAUCUAAGCAAGGACUCUUCCUUUUCCAAAGGAAGUAUAAAUUGGAACUCCUAGCUGAAACUGGUAUGUCUGCGUGUGAGUCGAUAGAUACUCCGAUUGAAGUGAAUCAUGGCCUAGCCUUCUUUUCUGAUCAGAUUCCAACAUACAAGGAAAGAUAUCAAAGGAUCGUGGGUAGACUAAUCUAUUUAACUCAUACCAGGCCAGAUUUAGCAUAUGCAGUCAGUGUUAUUAACCAGUUUAUGCACAAUCUAAGUGAUCAACACAUGAAUGCUGUUAAUCGAAUCUUGGCUUACUUGAAAUCAGCUCCAGGAAAAGGUGUCUUAUUCUCCAAACACGAACAUUUUGAUGUUGUUGGAUAUACAGACUCUGAUUUUGCUGGUAGCAAGUUAGAUAGAAAAUCAACUUCUGGAUAUUUGGCUUUUGUUGGAGGCAACUUGGUGUCUUGGAAAAGUAAAAAACAGAACGUGGUUUCAUUAUCUAGUGCAGAGGCUGAAUAUCGAGCUAUGCAUCAUGUUAUCACAGAACUCUCUUGGCUGAAAAUUCUCUUAAAGGAGAUUGGGUUUGGUCCAAAAGGUCCUAUGGUAUUAUUUUGUGAUAAUAUGGCAGCCAUUAAGAUUGCAAAUAAUCCUGUUCAACAUGAUCGGACAAAGCAUGUUGAAAUUGAUAGGAACUACAUCAAAGAUAAUCUUGAUUCCGGGACAAUUGAAAUUCUCUAUACUAGAAGUUCAGAUCAGUUGGCUGAUAUUAUGACUCAUGCUGUUACUAGUAACUUAUUCAAUGCAUCUCUAUCCAAGUUGGGCAUUUGUGAUAUCUAUGCCCCAACUUGAGGGGGAUAGUUGGUAGGAAUUAGCUAUGUAAUUAGUCUAAGAUAGCUGCUGUAAUUAGUCUAAGAAUACAGCUGUAUAUAGUCUGUAAUUACAGACUAUAUACAGCUGUACAUGGCUGACCAUUUAAUCUAGUUACUUGUAUAAAUAGAUCAAUGAAAUAUAUGAAAUAUAGACUUUUUAGCAUAAUUAAUAACUCUAAGUUUCAGGAUCAAAACUCUAAUGGCAAAUAGAGCUCGACAAUUGACUUAUUACAAUAACUAGGGCCAAAAUAGUCACAAGAUGAAGGAAGCUAAGUAUCCAAGUCUUCACUAGUAUGAUUCAAUUAGCAGAUGUCCUAAAACUACUACUAUUUUUUCUAGACCUUUAACCUACUGAUACCUGGAUACCAUUUGAUUCUCAAAAUCUUUCUUAUAAGUGCCUAGAAUGGACUGAUUACAUAUCAGUCAAAUUCACCCUCUCAUCAUCACGUAACAUCCCAAUGGAGUUGCAGAAAUCUUUAUCUCCCGUAAACUUGAGAACAAACAAUAGCAAUAGACUUUUCAGAAGUCAUGCAAGGAUCAGAAUUCUGCGUUAGAGAUUCUUUGAGAAGAUCCAAACAGCGUCAAUCUAAUCUGGAGGAGGGCACACUAGGAGUGCAAAUGUCCUGAGCAAGAAUAAGUAACAUAGCUCAUUUUUCAGAUUCACUCGACAUUGUUUAUAACUGAGUUACAAGAAAAAUUCAACUUUCAGAAGAAUCUAACUCAAUUAAGCUCCUUCCCUAAUCAAAUUAUGACCAGCUCAGCUGAAGGUAUCCAACUUGGUCAAAAGUGAGUAAAGUAGAUUUGGACCAAGUUUGAGUCAAGUUAGAGCAUUUGUGUACUCGCAUGGCAAGCCUGUCAACCUUCAUAGAUUCUAACAUAAAAAUAUUUCUUCCAAGUUAUGUAAAUUACCAAAACAACCAAUGCAAAAGAUCCCCAAUUUUGCCUUAUCCAAGACUCAAACUCAAGUGGAGUCAACCUCAUUCACUCACUGGUUUAGUCUAGCUCAAUCUCCACAAGCUACAAAAGGAGUAGUCACAAUUUUCAAUCUAUCUCAGCUCAAUAAGCUAGAUACUAGACUUGACUCAAUUUGAUUAUAACAAUAGGUAUUUUGGGAGGAAAAUCUAGUCACCAUAUUAUGAGUGACCAAUUAGUAUUUAUAGUAGUACAAACCUAACAAACUAUUUACAAGAAUACCCUUACUAAUCUAUUAUCUACAAUGAUACUUAUAUUCUCUUAACACUCCCCCUCAAAUUAAAGCAUAUAUAUCAUAAGCACCCAAUUUGUUACAAAUGUAUUUCACCCUAGAACCUCCUAAACUCUUGAUAAACAAAUCAGUCAAUUAGUCCACAGACGGUACAUGAGAUGUCUUGCUGACUCCAUCAAGCAAUUUCUCUCGAAUGAAAUGACAAUCAACUUCAAUAUGUUUUGUCCUUCCAUGAAACACUGGGUUAGACGCAAUAUGAACAGCCGCCUGAUUAUCACACACUAAAUUCAUAGGUUGUUUAUGCUCAAACCCAAUUUCAAGUAACAUGCUCUUCAACCAAAUCAAUUCACACACAAUAUGAGUCACAGCGUGGUAUUCAGAUUCUGCACUUGAUCUGGAGAACUGUUUGCUUCUUACUCUUACUCUUCCACGAUACUAAGUUACCACCAACAAACACACAAUAUCCUAUGAUCGAUCUACGAUCCGAGGCAGACCCAUCCCAAUCUGCGUCUCUAUAUCCUUCAAUAUCAGUGUGUCCAUGAUUUUGAUACAGCAAUCCUUUUUCAAGAGCACUUUUAAGAUAUCUGAGAAUUCGUAUAACAGCAUCCUAAUGACUGGUACGAGGGGUCUCAAGAAAUUGACUCACGACACUCAUUGCAAAUGAAAUGUCAGGUCUCGUUACAGUGAGAUAAUUUAAUUUACCCACAAGUUUUCGAUAUUACUUAUGAUCAUCUAGUAAUGCACCUUGAUCUCCUACAUUAGAAUCCAUAAGAGUAUCCACAGGUCGGCAACCUAACAUCUCAACUUCAUUCAGCAUAUCGAGUACAUAUUUCUUUUUACAUAAAUAAAUCUCAGAUUUAGAUUGAACUACCUAAAUAUUCAAAAAAUACUAUAAAUGACCUAAAUCUUUCGUCUGAAAGUUUGCCUACAGAUUAGAUUUAAGUUUCUAGAUCCCCAUAACAUCAUCACCUAUAAUCACAAUAUCAUCCACAUAAACAACUAAUAAAAUUUUACCAGCAUUAGAAUGCCGACAAAAUACAGAGUGAUCUACUUCACAUCUUGUCAGACCGAACUCCAUGACAACACUACCAAAUAGGCCAAACCAAGCCCUAGGAGAUUAUUUCAAUCUAUAUAAGGAUUUUUUCAAGCGACAAACCAACCGCGAAUUCUCUUCCUGAACAACAAAGUCAGGAGGUUGUUCUAUAUAUACUUCUUCUUCCAAAUCUCCAUGUAAAAAUGCAUUUUUCACAUCCAACUGAUUCAAUGGUCAAUUAUAAGUUGCUGCUAAAGAGAUAAGAAGACGAACCGAGAUUAUCUUUGCAACAGAAGAAAAUGUUUUUAAGUAGUCUAUUCCAUACACCUGAGUAAAUCCUCUAACUACCAGACGAGUCUUCAAUCUAUCAAUAAAACCAUUAGACUUCACUUUUAUAGUGUACACCCAUUUACAACCAACAACAGACUUACCAGAAGAAAGAGGGACAAGAUCCCAAGUACCAUUUUGUUCCAACGCAGACAUCUCUUCUUGCAUAGCUAAUCUCCAAUCAGGAUAAUUAAGAGCAUGGGUAAUAGACUUAGGAAUGGAGACAUAAUCAAGGGAAGCAACAAAAGAAGAAUAUGACAUAGAGAGGCGAGAAUAAAAAAUAAAAUUAGAAAUAGGAUGAGAAGUACAAUGCCUCUAACCUUUGUAUAAAGCAAUAGGAAGAUCUAACUCAGAGAAAGGCGUCAUACCUGGAUUUGAAAAUUAAAAGUUAAUUGGUGAAAUGCGUGGCAUAUCAGGAGCUUUCUCAACCAUGGAACGACAAGAAUAAACUUGAAAAUUAGGACGAGAUAAACGAGCUAUGGAAUCUGGUGGACUAGAUAACUUGGGUAAUAAAGAAGAAAGGACUGGUAAAACAGGAGAGGAAAAAGAGGGACGGACUCACAAGGCAUACCGUGUUUCAUAAAAUAUGGAGUGGAUUCAAAGAAAAUAACAUCAACACAAGUAAAAAAUCGAUUUAAAAUUGGAUUGUAACAUCUAUACCCUUUUUGUGCGUAUCCUAAGAAAAUAUAUUUAAUAGCACGAGGAUCUAAUUUAUCCACCCCGAGUGCAAACUGAUGAACAAAGCACAUACAUUCAAAAAUAUGAUGAGGUAAUUUAAACACAAAUUUAUGAGGAAAAAGAAUGGAGUGAUGUAAUUGGCCUCCAAGAAUAUUAGAUGACAUGCGAUUAAUUAAAUAACAUGCAGUUAGAACUGCAUCACUCCAAAAUUAUUUGGGCACAUUCAUGUGCAACAAAAGUGUUCGAGCAAUUUCGAUUAAAUGUCUAAUUUUUCUUUCAACAACUCCAUUCUGUUGUGGAGUGUAAGGACAAGAGAACUGAUGAAUAAUACCGGACUUAAUCAUAAAGGUAUUAAAAGAAGUGAAAAAAUAUUCUUUCGCAUUAUCACUGCGAAGUAUACGUAUAUGCACACCAAAUUGAUUCUUUAUUUCUAUAACAAAUGCACAAAAAAUGAAAUAUAGUUCUGAACAAUCUUUCAUUAAAUAAAUCCAUGUAACUCUAGAAAAAUUAUCAACAAAAAUUAAAAAAUAUUUAAAACCUAAUUUUGAAGUGACUCGACUAACACCCCAAACAUUAGAAUGAACUAACAAAAAGGGUUUAGAAACCCAUUUAUUGACUCUAGGAGCAAAAGAAACAUCAUGAUGCUUUCCUAACUGAUAAGACUCAUAUUCUAACGAAGACAAUUGACUCAAAGUAGGAACCAACUUUUUCAAAUUUUGUAGAAACGGAUGACCCAAACGACAAUGAAUUUCAAGAGGAGAAACAGUAGCAGGACAUGCAAUCGAACCAUUGGAGUUGAAAAAAUAAAGACCAUUAUGCUCAUGCCCUCCACCAAUCGUCUUCUUUGUCUUCAAAUCCUAAAUGACAACAAAAUCAGGAGAAAAAGUAACUGAACACUGUAGAAAUUUAGUGAGCUUACUAACAGACAUUAGAUUAAAUGGCAAAUUGGGUACGUAAAGAACAGAAGACAGCGGAAGAGAUGAGUUAAUUUCUACAGUGCCUAGUGCUUUAACUUUAGUGAUAGAUCCAUCAGCUAAAUUAACAUUAAAAAAGGAAGUAAACUCUUGAAAAUUAGAAAAAUUUUUAAAGGUACUUAACAUAUGAUCAGUAGCUCCGGAAUCAAUAAUCCAUGAGUCAAAAUUAGAGGAUGUGGAGAGACAAGCCAUAGCAUUACAUUUUUGUGCUAAAGAAGCAAAGGGAAGAGAUGCGUGAUUUGUAGUUUGGUACUAUAGGAAUUUAACAUAAUCUUUCUCGCAUAUAGUAAAAGUCUUCUGGGACCCAUGUGCUGAAGAACUUGAUUCAACUUGGUCAGUGGUAACUAUAUUAGCAAACCGAGGAAGUUUUCCAACUAAAUCCCACUAAGGAUCACAAGUGUGAUUUUUCAACCACAAUGAGUGCACUCACGGGUGAUUUGAGGCAUCAUUAUUGGCAAAAUAUUAGCGGACGUCAUGAUACCUUUUGAUAAACUUUAAGCCAUAGCGAAUAGCACUUCAAACAAAAAAAGCAGUCAAAAUUCAUGAUGAAUAGUACAUGAUGAACAGUAUCGCCUAAACAGUACGCCAUGACCAAUAUCGCGUGAACACGAAUUUUGCUAGAUGUUUAACCCUAACCCUAAGACUUUUGCUCUGAUACCAUGACAAUAGCUAUUUUGGGAGGAAAACAUCUAAUCACCAUAUUAUGAGUGAUCAAUUAGUAUUUAUAGUAGUACAAACCUAACAAACUAUUUACAAGAAUACCCUUACUAAUUUAUUAUCUACAAGGAUACUUAUAUUCUCUUAACAGAUUAAACCACCUAGGAAAGCAGGUAUCCAAACAUAUGCCUUGAGGGAUAACUGCUAGUAAGUAAUGCAAAUAAUCUGUACAUGAUAUAGCAAAAGUAUAACUUCAACUGUCCAAAAGGCAACUAAUAACACAGUCAAAGGAAAUAAAACACUAAAAACAAAAAAGUCAUGAAAGAAAUUCAAAAAAAAUUUCCCGAGUUUUUCAGAGACAUAAAUCCAAUAUUGGAGAACACCUAAAGGAACUCAAGCUCCAAAAAAUAAUAAAUCUUGAGCAACUAAAACACUGUUCAGUAAACCUCGAACACUCAACAGUAGAUAAUGUCUCAGGUAGGGGUGGAGCUGAGUCGAGGAGUUCGACUCGAGCUCGAUAUGUACUCGGUCAGAAGCUCGAUCUCGAGCUGCUCGAUAGAGCUAUCGAGUCGAGUUCGAGCCCAUAAAUUUGAUACUCGAAAGCUCGACGAGCUCUAUUGAGUAUCGCAUAAAAAAUUAAAAAAAAAUUAUAUAUAAAAUUACUAAUAUAAGUAAAUAAGUUCUGAGGAAUAAUUAUGGGUGAAGUGAUAAUUAUACUAAAAAGAAUAGUCAACAAGUUCCCACUUCCCGCCCAGACUUCCCAUCGAGCCUUUCUAGCCUUUCUAGCCUUUCAGCCAAUUCCCACUUCCUACUUCCCAUUUCCCAUUUCCCAUCGAGCCUUUCUUCCUCUUUCCAACUCCCAAGUCGUGUCUCUGUUGCUAGCUCGUUGAAGCUUCCCAGAGCAGCUAUUGAUUUGCUUAUCCAUCGCCGAUAGCUUUUGAAUCCGCCUGUAAGUUCAGAAUCUCCUUAUCUCCUUUUUGAAUUUAUGUAUUAAGCAUGCGGGUAAGAACUUGGUUGUAUUAUGUAUUAAGCAUUUAAGCAUACUGGUAAGGAAAACGUGAGGAAAAUUUGUAUUUUAAGCUUGUUGCUGAAAUUGUUGGUUACUAUAUUUAGAUUUGGUCACCACAACCCGUGCAUCUGAUAUGAAAGCCUCCUCGUCUUCUACGACCUUUUACUUUUUCUUCUCCUUCUCUUGAAUCUCUGCCACCCACUAGCUAUUUAGUGAAGAGUCUUCAAAGAGAGAAUUUUGGGUUAAAGAUUGAUUUGUUAUUUCUGUCUUUCUGUGCAAUUUCUCAUAAAUUGGAUACGAGCAAGGUUUUUUUUUUUUUGCUAGAGGAAUCACUUGUUUUCUCUUGAGCCUGUUGGCAAAGGUCUGAAUGCUGCCAAGGCACGUCAACAGCAUGAUACCCAGCAAAAGCUAAGAAACAACCAUAUUGAUUAAUGAGCAUUGCUGAUUUCAUAUUGUUCAUGUUUCUAAGAAUGGAACUCCUAAAGUUUUUCUUCAGUACGUGUCAUCUGACCUCCAUGUUAGCAUAUCUAGAACAAUAUUUGAACUUCCUAUAAUUGGUUUAGUUGGUCCUAGCUAACAAAAGUAUAAAGUUAGGGAUGAAGCAACACAAGUAUAAGGGCAGGUAUGUAUGGAUUUGCCAAGUAUGAUAAAAAGCAGGGAUGAAGCAACACAAGUAUGAAAUUUCUUUUCCCUUUAGCGCAAGUCAAAAGAUAUUUGAGACAGUUGAAAGUUGUUUUUAUUUUAAGCCUUUGAAAAAAAUGUAGGAAGAGUAUAUCAUAGCAUCUGAUUACUGUGAUUAAUACAGAUUUAUACAUUUGUUGAUGAUCAAAGUGUGAUUAAUGAAAUGUGGCAGGUUUAAUCUUUUCAUUACUGAAAAGAAUUAUCAGCAGAACCUCAAAAAAUGUAUUCUUUAUUUAAUUCAUAUGCCUAAAACUUCUCUAAAUAAUUAUCAGAGCAAGGUUUUUUUUUUUAAAUAGUUUGUUUACACCCUAAAAGUCUCUGAAAUUCAUGGUGAAAGCCUCCGUUAAUGGAUGUGUCUUUCUUUAGCUUGAAAAUUUCCUUGCCCUGAUUUGAAAAUUUGUUGUCUUUCUUUAGCUUGGAGCCUUGGACUGCAUGUGUUUAUGGCCUGAUGUCAACCCAAGACAAGGGCAGUCAACCCGAGAUUUCUUGUAUCCCACUGGUUUCCAAUGCUGAUUCAUGUACUCCAUUGAUAUUGGACAACCCAAUAUUUGUCUCCAAUGAGUCAACGAUGAAUCCAGGAGACGUGAUGACUAAUCCAAUUACACAAAGUACUCCUUUGGGUAAUAUACAAGAAGGACAAGAAGCUGUGGUUGCUGACGAUAACAAUGAAGAAGGAGAAAAUGAUAAAUUAGAUGAAGAUGAUGAAUUCCAUAUUCCAAAACGGAAUAAAACUUCUGAAGCUUGGGAGGACUUCAACGAAUUUGAAGAAAAUGGCAAUUACUAUGCCAUUUGCCGUUACUGCAAUAAAAAGCUAUCGAGGGGUAAAUCAAAGCAAACAACUAGCUUGUGGCGGCACCGAAACUCAUGUCCAUCUAGAAAAGCAAGUUUAAGACAAGCUGCACAACAAACGAAACUGAACUUUCAGCCGGCUGAUGAUGCAUUUCCUACUAUACCACCUUUGCAUACCGAAAAAUUUGACAUGGAGAAAAUGAGAGAAGCCGCUGCACAUUGGAUUGUGAUGCACGAACAUCCCUUCACCAUUCUUGAAGAAGAAGGUUUGAAUAUUUUCCUAAAGCGUGGCAUGCCCGAGUGGCAAAAGAUCACUAGAGGAGUAGCAAAAAAUGAUUGUGUGGCAGUCUAUGAACUUGAGAAAAAGAAGCUGAAGAAAAAGUUGAGAAAUGUGAUAAAGGUGAGCCUCACAACCGAUCUUUGGAAAUCCAAAAAUCAAAAGAUCGAAUAUAUGGUUAUUACUGGCCAUUGGAUUGACUCGGAUUGGAAGCUACAAAAGAGAGUGCUCAACUUUGUUCACAUACCACCUCCUAAACGAGGGGUUGAGAUUGCUGCUUCACUCUUCAAGUGUGUGAAGGAUUGGGGUAUUGAGCAAAAAAUAUACACAAUUUCAGUUGACAAUGCUUCAGCCAAUGAUGUGGCUAUUAGAGUUUUGCGGGAUGAUUUUAGUAGAUCGAAGAAACUAUUAGGUGGCGGCAAGUUGUUUCAUGUUCGAUGCUGUGCGCAUAUCUUGAACCUUAUUGUUCAAGUCGGCCUUUCUGAGAUUGCGGACAUUGUAAACAAAAUUAGGGACAGCGUCGAUUUUGUCAAUCGCUCGGAGACCAGAUCAUUGUUGUUCGCUGAGAUUGCACAACAACUUCAAAUACCCGGGAAGAAGUUGCUUUAUGAUUGUCGAACAAGAUGGAAUGCCACCUUCGAAAUGUUAAGCUGUGCUAUGAAGUUCAAAGAUAUUUUUCCUCGUUUUCAAGAUAGAGAUCCACUCUAUGAUUCCUGUCCAGCUUAUGAGGAUUGGGAAAAAGCAGAAAAAGUGUGCUCUGUGUUAGAGAAAUUUUGGGCAGCCACACAUGUGAUAUCCGGGAGUGAAUAUCCUACGAGCAAUUUGUUCCUUCAAGAGGUUGUGAAAAUUAAGAAAGUCUUAGAUUCUCGAGCAAAUGAUGAAAAUGACUUCAUCCGAGCUAUGAUUAGAAAGAUGAAGGCCAAGUUCGACAAAUAUUGGGGCGAAUGCAAUUUGUUAAUGGCUAUUGCUGCCAUUUUAGAUCCAAGGCAGAAAAUGAGAGUUGUUGAGUUUGCCUUCCCUCAAAUGUUUCCAUCUUUUGAGGCACAAGAACAUAUUUUCAGCGUGAAGAAAGCUUUAUUUGAGCUUUAUGAUGAGUAUGCAGAUUUGAAUGCAACUGGAAAUGAAAAUGCAGUCCACUCAUGUGCUUCAGAAGGGCCACAAAAAAAUGCAACAUCUUCUUCUAGGUGGGUUGACUUUGAUGAGUACUGUGACGAAAUGGAGACUACUGAGCCACAGAAAUCUGAAUUGGUGGAUUAUUUAGAAAAGGCUAGCCUAAAGACUGGUUCCAACCCAAAUGCCUAUGAUUGUUUGGAGUGGUGGAAAAGCAAUAGGGUUGCGUAUCCAAUAUUGUCCGAAAUGGCGGCUGACAUCUUGGCUAUUCCUAUAACUACAGUGGCAUCUGAGGCCACAUUUAGUGCCGGAACUCGAGUUAUUGAUAGCUAUCGUGCUUCGCUUCAUCCAGAUACGGUUCAAGUGUUGUUGUGUGCAGGGGACUGGUGUAGAAAGCUUCACGGGAUCUCAAAGAAAGUGAAAGUAAGUUUUAUUGUUUUAUCAUUCAACUUUUGUGGCCAAGUUCAACAAGUUAUGACUUCUUUUCUUUCUAAAUUAUUUGCCUUGGGUGGUUUUUAUUGUAAAUGCAGCAAGCUAAAAUAAUCAAAGAAAUUGAAUUGCCCAAGAUUUGAAGGUCUAUUGCAAAGGGCUCAUUUUGAAUCAGGUUUGGCAUUGUGGUUAUCUAGAGUUCUCGAUAAUUUUGUACCUUAAUUUGAUUCAUUUUUUGUCUUUGGUGAUAUUUGACAGGACUUAUAUUUUUUUGGUUGGCAAUAGGUGUUAGAAACUUGGAAUUUUGGAAUCUGAACUCUAUGCAGUUAACAUCUCAAAUGACUUGUCUCAAAUCUGUACAGCUAUAGUGAAUUUGGUGACUUUUUUACUCAAGCAAAUGUUGACACUUGACAAGCUGUGGUUGCCAGUUGUGUUUUGACUUUUUUGACUCAAAUCUGUACAACUUUGGUGAAUCUGGACAUUUUUUUGACUGUUGACAAGCUGUGGCUGCCAAGUUGUGUUUUGACUUUUGACUUUGGACUCAAAUCUGCAUAGCUAUAGUGAAUCUGGUGAUUUCUUUGACUCAAGUGAAUGUUGUAUAGCUACUACCAGGUUGUAUUUUGAUUUUUGACUAAAAUCUGUACAUGAGUUGCUGUAUAGAAUCUUGGCAAUGGAUCUUAAUAGAAUGUUGUAUAGAGAACUUGAUCUCAAAUCGUACAGAGUUCAGUGUAUUGUGACUAAAUGCUAUUAAUAUCAAGUUCUCUAUUUCUUUUGCUUACAUGGCUAUUUUGGCUAUUGAGAAACUAUCAUUUUUUCUAUCAUAUUAACUAGUUUGAUACUGUUGCUUUUAGAGUGCUUGAAUCACAUGGUUGGCAUUUGCGUUGAAAUGAAGCAAAAUGCAUGUUUUAAUAUGAAUUGCUAUAUUGAAGGAUAGCACAGUUUUUUGCGCUCAAUUUUUGCUGAAUUCUCGUCUAGAAAACAAAUGUCUUCGAGCUCAUUUUACGAGCUUAGUUCGAGUACUCGAGCUCGAAUCUUAUACGAGUCGAGCUCGAGCAGUACUCAUAACCUUCGAGCUCGAGCUCGAGUAUGGUACUACUCGAGCUCGACUCGGCUCGACUCCACCCCUAGUCUCAGGUGACCUCUUAUCAUCACUUUGAUUUUCAUAAGCUUCUAUUUCUUAGUCAUGGCUUAGGAACAAACAUCUGAACCUUAUGGAGAGAAAUAAGAUUCUUCAGGUAUCCACAACAAAAUCUGGUGAGAUUAGAAAAGAUGUAUUUAGCAAAAACAUUCUAAUAAACUAUUUAUUGAAUACUAUUCUGAAAUAGCCAUCCUAUUACAUUUUCUCAACAAACUGUUCUGCACAAAAGGUUUGUAACACCUUAGUAGGAAAAUCUCGACAAAACACUCAUAAAAAUCAUUACAAAAGUUCAAGAGCCGAAACACUCAUGAAAAGGUGCUCUGAUUUUAAAAAAAUGGGUAAAGUAUAUUCAAAGACGAGUAAAAUCUUUGAAAUAACUUACAUAGACACAUUAGACGGGUCCAACAAGUCCACGUGUACAUAAUACGAAAAACAACUCAAGCUCCAAACAAUUCAUAUUACUCAAACUUAUCUCUCAAGCAGUGUUUUAUCAAUGUGGAAUUGAAAUUUAAAACAGAAUCAAUUUGAUCCAGGUAAUAAUCAUUACGGUAUUUCCAAAACCAUGACUAGAAAAUCAAACAUGAGGAAUCAAUAAACUACAGAUGACUCUACAAAACAGGAAUUACCUGUGUGUAGCAAAAACUUAAAAUUGCUAUCACAAAAAAUGCAAAACCUUACAUCAAUCCACUCAUAUAAAUAAAACUUAAGCAAGUUUGGUAAACAAAGUUUUCAAACUAGUUUGGAUAAGACGUCAGCUGGUACAAGAUGUUAGCCAUUACACUACUUAAAACGUAAAACUGGACUGACUAUCUGGUGACUACUACAGACUCAAAUGAUAAACAUAGAUUCAGUGGUAAAGUUAAUCCAGCAAAGAUGGAAAAGAGAAAUAUUCUGUGCCAUACCUUAUUUUCCAAUUUGUCCAUUCAUACCAUUUCCACACAAAUGAGCUCUUCAGGGACUCUCAGACAAUAUAAUCCACCUGCAAUGAUCCAUUUACAGCUUUCAAUACUUAAUGAAGGGACUUGAAAGCAACUGUAAAACCAUAUCAAAUAGCUUAGAAAUGUUUCCUUCAGUGAAAGCCACAUCAAGUAAAAUAGAGAGAGUGGAUGAAUGCAGCACGAGACCUUCUGAAAGCAUUUCAUGAAUAUGCAUUCUUGUGUCAGCAUAUCUAUCCUCUCUGAGAUACCUACGAGCAGUAAGCCCUAUGCAGAGACUUUGGAUGGACAAGUAUAUGCUUCCUUUUGCUUAAGAUACUCUUUAGCUUCCUUGAUCAGUUCCAUUUCAUAACGGCCAUGUAUCAUCAUCAUACUGCAGCUACAACAUCAGGAUGCAAUUCUUCAUUCUGAAGACUUACAAUGUACUUCCCCAUGGGGAUUGGGAGGAAACUUUAGAACUGUAUCAAGAAGAUUAAUUCCUUCAGUGGAAACUAAAUCCAGUAACACUGAAACAGUGGAGGCAUCUGGAGAAAAACCUUUCCCAAACAUUUCCUCAAGAUGCAUUUUUGCCUCAGCAUAUCCACCGCCUUUAAGAAAUCCAUGAACAAUAGUAUUGUAUGCACGGCUAUCUAGCAAGUAACCAUCAGCUUUCAUUUUCACAAGAAACCCUUCAGCUUCCUUUAGCUUUCCUGUUUCACAAAGUCCUUUAAUCAGUGUUGUGUAAGUCACAACACUAGGAUGCAAUUUUUUACUAUGAAGACUGCAGAAAACACUUAGUGCAAUGUCCAGUUUCCCACUUUUGCAAUAUCCAUUUAUGAUGAUGGUGAACAUAGCAAUAUGAAGUUCUACACCAUCACUUUCCAUCUUUUGUAAUAAUAGAAAUGCUUCAUCAAUAUGGCCAUUUUUGCACAAACCUUCUAACAUGACACAAUAAGUGUGAAAACCAGGUUUUAGUGCAGCAGCUUGAAUAUCAUCGAAAACUUGUUUUGCAGUGGCACACCUUCCUGCCCCAUAUAAACCUUGCAGCACUAUGUUAUAAGUAGCAAUAUCAGCUUUCAAACCUUUAGAUGGAAUUUCUCUGAAGAGCUGCAUAGCUUUGUCCACUUUCUUUUUCUUGAAAUAUCCGUAGAUUAAAAUACUAUAGCUGUGAAUAUCAAUACCCGGUCCUCCGGCAUUCAUUAGAUCAAAAACUUUUCUUGCCUCACCCAUUUGGCCCUGUAAACAAUAUCCAUCUAGCAGUGUUGUGAAGGUGAUGGUAGUAGGAUUUUCACCACGCUUAAUCAUGACACUAAUAAUGCCCUCCGCACCUUUAAUCUGUCCCUCCUUACUAAGCAUAUCAACCAACAUGUUGUACAUACAAAUAUUUGGAGAAAUAUCAAAAUCAGUCAUUCCAUCCCAAAGCUUUUUAGCCUCCUUCCAUCUGCCAUUGUUACAUAGGCCUUGAAUCAAACAAGUAUAAGUGAUGACAUUUGGGGAAAUGCCCUUAUCAAUCAUCUCAGCAAAAAGGGCAAGAGCAUCAUCAACCAUCUUAUCCUUACACAAGCUGUCAAUGAUAGUGCUAUACACGAUAGUAUUGGGCUUACACUUUCCUCUUUCCAUUAUCCUAAGAAAUUCAAGGGCAACGUGAAUGUUCCCAACCUUGCACAGCCCAUCUAUUACAGUCCCAAACAUAACCUCAUUGGGUUGGCAUAGUCUUUCAUAUAUUAUCUUCUUGAAUAAUUCUUGUGCCUCGGCAACCCUUUGUUGCGCAAAGAGCCCUUUAAGUAAAGUGGUGAAGGUGGUCACAUUGGGUGCAUAACCGCGCUUGAAUAAGGAUCCCAAAGCAUAAAAAGCACAAUCCACCCAACCCAUCAGACAGUAACAGUUAAUCACUAUAUUCAAGGGAUAACCAUCAAUAGGAAAGCCCAAGAAACACAUAUCCUUGUAAAGGGAAAUUGCAGCAGAGUAUUGCUUCAUCUUAACUACUCUACCAAGCAAUUUGGUGAAUUGAAUAACAGAUGGCAGAGGCCUCAUGCCGACCAUAUGCUUGUAUAAAUCCAAAGCAUCAUCAAGCCUGUCAAUAUUAUCAAGUAACCCAGAUUUAAACAACCUCCGAUUGCUAGACUCAAUACUCCUUUGAGACUGAAGAGGGGCAGGAAAAGCACUAAAAUUUCUACUCAUAUAACUAAAGGGUAACCAAAAACGAGGUGGGCUUGGGGAGAUAUGCUCAACAGAAAUACCUGCUGCGACAUUGCGAUCGAAAGAAGUGAUGACUGGUGCUCUUCUCGCUCUAGCAGCCAUCCGAGAAGUGUCUCUCCAUCUUUGUCCGAGACGUAGUGAAUAGUGAUACAUCCCUGCUCUGCAAAUCAGCGAUUUCAUUUGCUGUUACAAGAAAGAACGGAUAGUUUCAGAAACCUCCUCGAGGUUUCCAACGAUUACACCUAACACUCUUGAGAUUUUUAAUGGGAUACUUUCAAAAAUCACUCCUGAGGUUUCUGGCAAUUUUGCUUAGCUCUCUUAGGUUUGAAAAAUUACACUUAUCUCCCUUAAUUUGAUAGUUUUAGUAACAAAAUCUUAAAAUAAUAUUAACUUGAUCAGAUUUUUAAAUAAAUACCUAAAAAUACCCUUGUAUAAUGAGUUUUAAUUUAUUUUCCUAUACAAUUAUAAGAUUAUCUAGUAUAAAAGGUGUCAAAUGUUUUAUGUCCAUAUCUAAUAUUUGAUAAACAACUAUAAUAAUAAUUUUAUCACUAUGAUAGGAUACUUUUGAUAAUAUUUUAUUAUGAAUUUAGAUUUAUAAGAUAGAAAAUAAAAUAUUGAAAUAAUUCAUUUAGAAUUUAUGAAUUUUUCGAGUAGUGAGAUUACCAUAAUUUAGUAGCGGUUUUAGACCAUUUAUUUUUUAUUUAUUGUUAAUUUUAACACCAAAAAAUAGAAAACAAAGAUCAGCAAAAAUAUUGGAUUACAUAUAAGUUAACUCAUCAAAAAAAAUUAUUAGUUUGGCAUUUGGUUAUAAUAGAAACUAAAGGCACUAGUGGUAGUUUUACAGUUUUAUUGGCAAAAAUUAAAAAAAAAAGAAUAAGAAGAAAAAAGAAUGAAAAAAUUAAUUUAAAAGUCAUUCUAAAUAUAAACAUACCAAACAAGGGAAUUUCAUUAAAAUAUUUAAAGAUAGUAUUGUCAUUUUAAAUAACAAGAGAGGUAUGUGUAAUUUUUAAAACCCAGAGGGAGCUAAAUGAAAUUGUUAAAAACCUCAAGGGAGGUUUCUAAAAUUAUCCCCUUUUUAAUAUUACACAUACUUCGCUUGACCUUAUGAAAUGACCAUAAUAACCUUAACUUAUUAAUAUUUUUUCAUGCAAUUAAAUAAUUUGCUUCUAAUCUUGUGCAUAUGAAUGCAUCACACAAUUAGACAUUUAAUAAAAACAAAAAUAAAAUUCACUUGUGGAAUAACUAAUUAUGUUCUAACCACAAUUUUAACACAUUGCAAAAUAAUUUUAGCUUUGUUUGGACAAUCUAGAAAUGAAUAGAAAAAAAUGUAAGUUGAAGGUUUAAAAAGGAUGGGGUUAGUGUUGAUAUUCUAACAUUUGAGGGAUGGAAUGUUAUGUUACUACAGUUGGUGAAAUUUUUUGAGUUUAACAAUGCUAAUUUAUUUUUUUUCUUUAUUAACUUAGAUUGAGAUUUUAGAAUUUAGAAAUUGAUGGUUGUAAUGGUCAUGAUGAUAAUGGUACUAUUUUGAAAUAUGGAGAUAUGAAAAAUUAAACUAGUAGAGGUAAGAGUUAAAAGUGGGAUUGAGAUUUUAUGUUCUAUACAUAUAUUUUUAAGAAUUUUAUAAGAAGAUAAAAUAAAAUUCACAAUUUCAUGAGAGCCUUUUGGGUUAUUCAUGCAAAAUUUUGGCCAUUGAAUAGUUUUUGUUGCCAAUACAGUACAUUUAAAAGAGGUAUGUUUAAUUUUUGAACUGCAAAAGAACCAAGUGAAAUUGUCGAAAACUUUAAGGAAGGUUUCUAAAAUUAUCCCUAAAACGAAAAUGGUUUUUUAUGGAGUAUUCGGAUUUGGGAAAUUUGCCAAUUUGGUGCUUGAACUUUUACUGUAAGAUCUUUUCUGUCCUCGUGGUUUUUUUUUUUACCAAUUUAGUUCUUAAACUAUAUUUUUUAUUUUAAGACAGGACUUCUAUGGUGGCACAGCCACAUUUUUAUCUAUUUUCCACCACCAGUUAGGGGUAUUUUUCGAACAUCAAAUUAGAUUUGCUUCCCCCAUUCCCAAAAAGAUUAUCGCUUUUCAAGAGAAGUGCUUUUUAUCAACAAUGAAGACAAUUUGAUCCAUUUUAUAUUAUUUUCCUAUUAUGCCCUUACAGAACAUACUCGCUAGCAAAGAAAUAUCUAAAAGUCACUCGAUCAUGCAUGUAAAUAUGUGUGGGAUUGAUACGAACCUACUCGAAGGUAUGAACUCGUAUCCCACGUAAUCCCGGAUCUAGACGAAAAAAAUCAAGUUGAGUUGCGGAAUAACACUUGACCCUUCUAACCCUAGAUUGCGAACCUUGAAAUGAAUCUCAACCCACAAUCAAUCGAGUAAGUGAACCAAUGUUAAGAGUAGGAGAACGCUACAACCAAAGUGUGUACUUGAUUGAUAAGUUCGAGAAAUACUCUCGAGUAAUUCUCAAGUAUUCAAAAGAGACUCUCUUGGACAAGAGAAAAGGUGUUUAACACACAAAAUUUGAUAUAUUCCAAAACUAGAGAAACGUUGGGAGUGUUUGGCUAUUUAUAGCCUUACAUAUACUCAAGGCCUAAUGUGAUUUGAAACCACUUAUUACUUAAAGUGAAAUGACAAAAAGUCGGCCCAUUGGACUCCUAAUCUUGGCCGAAUUUAUUAGAUCAACUAACACUAAAUUAAGCAAGGUAAGUUAACAUUUAAACCUUUGCUUAGACACCAAACAAACGACUUAAAUGAACUAAAAUAGAAAUUGAAUGCUCCAAAUUUGGAAAACUCCCAACUAGACUUCACUCAGCUCAAAGACUUGAAUUAGGGUGUAACGAAUUAUUUCUUCCUUCUCAAGCUCAUGAAUAACGUUUGCAUGGUCAACUCCAUCAUGUAUGGUACGAACUAGGGCUUGUAUUGAUUCCUUAAACUUCUUGGCACUUGCUCUAGGCAUUGGACCACCUAACUCCGCUUGGACUACACUUGAAGUGUCUUGGUCAACCGUCCCUCUUGCAUCAUUCCCCUCCUCUUGAAGGCGAUUUGUCCUCAAAUCAAACUCAUCGUCUGCUAGAUAAGGACUCAAGUCAGUCAUAUUGAAAGUUGCGUGGACACCGUACUCACCUGGUAGGUCCAACUUGUCAGCAUUAUCAUUAAUGCGCUCCACCACUUAGAAAGGUCCAUCACCUCUAGGCAAGAGUUUGUUGCGUCGUUGUACCGGGAACUUUCUUUGCGCAUGUGAAUCCACAUCCAAUCACCUGACUCAAAAAUCAUCUUGUGACGACCUUUGUUAGCAUGGCGAAUAAAUUGAAACGUUAUUUUCUCAAUGUUAUCUCUUACCUUUUGAUGCAAGGCAUGCAAUUGUUCCGCUUGUUUCAAUCCAUCCAUAUUAACUCUCUCAGACAUAGGUAAAGGAGAUAAGUCUAGAGGUGUGAGAGGGUUAAAACCAUAAAUAACUUCAAAUGGUGAGGAUUGUGUGGUGCUAUGGACUAUGUGGUUAUAAACAAAUUCAACAUGUGGCAAACAAUCUUCCCAUGAUUUAGGAUUUUUUUUUAUGAUAGCACGUAACACGGUAGAGAGUGUCCUAUUAACUACUUCAGUUUGACCAUCAGUUUGGGGGUGAUUGAAAGUAGAGAACAAGAGUUAGUUCCUAGUUUACUCCAUAAAGAUUUUCAAAAAUAACUAAGAAACUUGACAUCUCUAUUACUAACAAUAGUGCAUGGUAUUCCAUGCAAUUUGACUAUUUCCCUAAAGAACAAAUCAACUACAUACUUAGUAUCGUCAAUUUUAUGAUAGGGAAUGAAAUGUGUCAUCUUGGAGAAACGAUCAACAAUCACAUAAAUAGAAUCAUGUCCAUGCCUAGUUCUAGAUAAUCCAAGUACAAAAUGCAUAGAAAAGUCAACCCAUGAAAUAGUAGGAAUAGGUAAUGGGGUGUAAAAUCCAUAAGGGUUUAUCUUAGAUUUGGCAUGAUGGCAAGUUACACAUCAUUGAGCAAUGCGUUCCACAUCACGCCUUAUUUUUUACCAAUAAAAGUGCUCUUGGAGGAUAGACAAUGUCUUAGCGACUCCAAAAUGCCCCAUAAGACCCCUACCAUGCGCCUCCCUAACAAGUAAGUAGUUCUCGCAUAGAACAAGAUGGUAUGCACAACUUGUCCUUGAAAACAAAUAAUCUUGGAAAAUAUAGUAAUUCUCACGGUCAAGCCGUGGAAGAUCAGUAAAGAUAGCUCCAAAAUCAGGGUCGUUAGUGUAAGCAUCCUUAGUCAACUCAAACCCUAGUAAUUUGGCAUCAAGAGUGGUAAUAAGAGUGUACCUUCUAGACAGUGCAUCCGCUACCACAUUACUUUUUUCAGCCUUAUACUUGAUCACGAAUGGGAAACUAUCAAUGAAGACUACCCAUUGUGUGUGUCGCUUGCUCAAUUUGUUUUGAGACUUGAGGUGCUUAAACGACUCGUGAUCCGUUUGUAGAACAAAUUCUUUAGGCCUUAAAUAGUGCUGCCAUGUCUGCAAGGCCCUAACUAAAGCGUAUAGCUCUUUGUUAUAUAUGGAAUAGUUCAACAAUGUGCCAUUUAGUUUCUCACUAAAGUAGGCGACCGGCUUUCUUUCUUGUAGUAACAUGGCCCCGACACCUAUACCAGAUGCAUCACACUUAAUUUCAAAUGUUUGAUCAAUAUUAGGCAAUCUAAGUAUAGGUGCAUGUGUGAGUUUGUGUUUGAGUAAUUGGAAGGACUUAACUUGUUCAUCUCCCCAUUGAAAUGCUUGGUUCUUCUUGAUGAUGCAAGUAAGUGGGGCUACAAUGGUGCUAAAGUUUUUGACAAACCGACGAUAAAAGGUAGCCAACCCGUGGAAACUUCUUACUUCACUAAGAGAUGUAGGGGUCGGUCACUCCACUAUUACUUUCACCUUAUCUUGAUCAACGUGUAUGCCCUGCGCGCUCGCAACAUACCCUAGGAACACAAUUUGAUCAGUGCAAAAAGUACACUUUUUAAGAUUGGCAUACAAUUAUUCCUUUCGAAGAACCUCCAAAACAGCCUUGACAUGCAUGACAUGCUCAUCUAAAUUCUUACUAUAAAUAAAAAUGUCAUCAAAGUAAACGAUUACAAACUUACCUAAGAAUGCAUGUAAGACAUGGUUCAUUAUUCUCAUAAAUGUGCUAGGUGCAUUAGUCAAUCCAAAUGGCAUAACCAACCAUUCAUAUAAAUCAUACUUAAUUUUGAAGGCAGUCUUCCAUUCAUCCCCUUCUUUCAUUCUUAUCUGAUGGAUAGCCACUUUUUAGAUCAAUUUUAGUAAAAAUUAUAGGUCCAUGAAGCUCAUCUAGCAUGUCAUCUAGUUUAGAAAUAGGAUGGCGAUACUUUACCGUUAUAACAUUUAUGAUACAACAAUCGGUGCAUAUCCUCCAAGUUUCAUCUUUCUUGGGCACAAGUAGAAUUGGAACGACACAUGGACUCAAGCUUUCAUGUACCUAUUUUUUAUCCAAAAGUUCACCUACUUGGCGCUCCAUCUCCUUAGUCUCCUUAGAAUUGCUCUUAUAAGGUGGUCUAUUAAGUAAGGUUGCCUCAGGGAUGAGAUCAAUUUGAUGCUCAAUUCCCCUUAAUGGAGGUAAACCACUAGGUACAUCCUCAGGGAAGACAUCUUGAUACUCCUGAAAAAGAUUAGCAAUAGAACUAGGUAAGGAAACAUCAAGUGUGUCAGUCGCAUGUACUCCUUUACAUACGAGAAGUAAUAGGAUAUGAUCAGAAAACAAGGUCUUUCGCACAUUUUUGACUUUUGCCAUUAACAUUUGUUUCCUCUCUUUUUUUAUCUCUCUAGCCGAGAUUCUUUCUCCAUUUUCCCUUCAAUUUUGCCUCGGCUUAACUCACAUUUUCCCCUAUUCUCUCGAACUUUAUCCUUUCUUUCUUGUCUUUUCUUUUUCUCAAGUUCUAAUUUGAAUUCCCGUUGAAGAGUAGCUUGAUUCUCAUGCACUUGUUGAAGUAUAAGAGGCACAAGUACAAUCCUUUUAUUACAAUGGGAGAUGGGAGAACGAAUAUUUAUUAGUGUAACCAUCCCAACUAAAUUUCUUGUCGAAUUUCCAAGGUCGGCCUAAGAUAAUAUGAGCAGCUUGCAUAGGCACAACAUCACAUAAAACCUCAUCAACAUAUCUACCAAUGUGAAAAGAAACUAGGAUUUGUUUAAGUACACGUAUCUCUCCACUAUUGUUGAGCCAUUGCAACUUGUAGGGAUUGGGAUGGUUAGUAGUAGCUAGGCUCAAUUUCUCCACCAUGUGUGCACUCGCUACAUUAGUACAGCUUCCGGGGUCGACCACCAAGUUACAAACUUUGUCCUUGACAUGACAACGUAUGUAGAAUAUAUUUUCACGUUGUAGAUCAUCCACACUAACUUGAGUAGCUAAUGCACGUCGAGCUACUAAACCAACUCGAUCUAGUGUAGGCUGCUCCUCCUCGGUCUCCUCUCCUCCAUCAUCAACCAAAGGCGGCAUCUCCUUGUACUUGUUCUCGUCAUCGGUUAGCACUUCUUCAUUGGACAACAUGAGCAUGACCUGUUGAUUUGGACAUUGGGAAGCAAUGUGUCCAAACUCUCGACACUUAAAACAUUUAGUGUCUCAAUUUUUCGGUUUAGGUGUUUCUUGAUUGGCCUUAAAUCCUCCCCUUUGUAUUGCCUUGGAAGAUGAAGUAUUCGGCCUCAAAGCUCCACUCGAAACUCCACUUGGUUUGGCUGAAUUUUGUGCAAUCGAAGGGCUGAUCUCACCCUUUAUGGUCGAAUUUCUCCAAUUUUCAUAUUGGAAAUUGGAGUUUUGGCGAGUUGUACCCCUCCUCUUGAGCUUCCUUUCCACCUCGAUAGUUUUGUCCAAUAGUUCCCCCAUGUCAAAAUAGUGUUGAAGCUCUACAACAUUUACAAUUUCGGCCCUUAAUCCCCUCAAGAAUUGAGCCAUGAUUGCCUUCAAAUCUUCAUGAACAUCAACCCUCACCAUUGCCAUUUUCAUCUCUUUGAAGUAAUCUUCAACCGUCAUACUACCUUGAGUGAGAGUUUGCAAUUUAUGGUGCAAAUCCCUAUGAUAGUAACGAGGUAUGAAGCGCUUUUUCAUGACCCUUUUUAACUCUUCCCAAGUUCGGAUGGUUGGCUCCUCAUUCCUCCUUUGUUUGAUGCGAAGUUGAUCCCACCAAAUAGCUGUGUAGUCCGUGAAUUCUAUGGCUGCCAACUACACCUUUCGAGGCUCCGUGUAGUGGUUACAAUAAAAAAUCAAUUCAAUCUUUCUUUCCCAAUCCAAGUAUGUUUCGGGAUCCGAUUUGCCUUGGAAUGUGGGGAUUUUUAGUUUUAUCCCCUUUAGUUGAUCAUCUCCAUGUUUAGCUCGAUGUUUAUCCUCCCUCGGCCUUUGCUCUUCUUCCUUGAACUCUCUCUCCGAAUUGGAGUCACUGAGUUCAUGCAUGAGAAAUUUUCCUCUAGUUUUCUCGAAGGAGUUCUUUGAUGAAUCUAUUUGUUCGAUUUGCUCCUGGAUGGACUCGAACUUGUGAUUGAAUUUCCUUUGUAUUUCGGUCCACAUAGCAUCCAUUUUAAAUGCUAAUUGUGCAAUGGUAAGUUCAUUUUUGUGAGCCAUGUUUAUAAUCAUGCAAAACUUAACAAACGUUAGUCGAAAAUGCCUCUCUCACUCCCUUACGUGUUUCACUCGCACUCGUGUAUCACUCAAGUGUAUAAGUCACUCUAAUGAUCUCACCAACACCUCUCAAGUCAGUGAAUUGUCCCUCUUGAAGAAGUAGAAUUCCUCAAUGAGUAUCAAUCAAACUUCUCUCCAAGUUACACCAACGGUGCAGCGAUUGUUGGCUGGAAUUUUUUUUGAGGGUAGUAGUUGAUUUUGAUUGACUCAAAAGGACUUAAAAACAGGCUGGGAAAUGACUAGACUUGGCCGAGCAAGUAGACUCGAAAUUUAGAAACUUUUGGACCAUGUCUAGUGACUCAAUUUAGGAAACUAAUUACCCAAAUUAGAAAACUAGGAAAUUAGAUGGACGACCAAGAUUGAUUUAGACCUCUUUUGUGGACCUUUAGACGUUGUUAACAGUUUGGAAAGACACCCUACAACCUCAAAUUCGUGGCUGGAUAAAUUACACCAAUUUGACAAAGAAGCGGCAGAAAUUUGGAAACCUAGACGUUACUCUACCCGACUUGCAUUUGGGCUGGUUUUGGUAAGUUCCUACAAGGUUUUUCUUGGAAUUGUUUUUGGCAAGAAUAGUUGCUGGUUUGGGAAGUUUUUCACGGUGCAAUUAGUUUUAGAAAGGUUCAGAUUUGGUAGUAUUUGAUGGUGACUAGGAUUUGUUUUACAGACCCAAGUCAACUUGGAUCCCCAAAUCAAGUUACCUUCCUUGAUCCGAUUCUGUUUUCUUCCUUUUUCUUGCAUUUUCCUCCUUUUUUUCUGAUUCUUUUUUUUUUAUAAACGCAAAAUAGAUUUGUCUCUUUUUUUUUCCUUUCAAGUCGGAUCAAGCUCAAAGAUCAAGAAUGGGUUGGGUUAUGCACACAAGCAGCCGCUAUUUUGGUUCAAGAAACAAAAACUUGGGUAAUGUUCAAGAAUUGGUCAACCUUGUUUCAAGAAUUCAAAAAACCUUAGAUACCAAUCCCAACACUCCAAGAUAUAUCAAGAACUUCCAAGAAACAAGGUAAAUAGCCUCGAUUUUAGUGCAAGACACAAAUCCUAACCCAUUGGCCAAGAAAGACCCUAGUUUAACCGCAAAUCUUCAAAACAAAUACGAUCAGAUUUUUUUUUAACUCUUAGAUGGCAUCAAGACCUAGAAACAUGAAUAACAAGGAGGCCCAACAAGAUCAAAACAAAAACACAAUGCAACAAGGAAGACUUCAGACUAGGGGUGCAAACGAGGCGAGUCGAGUCGAGUUUUGGCCUAAUUGAGUCGAGCCUUCAGUUAAUUUUAUGAAAUUCGAACUCAAGUUCGAGUUCGACGAGCUCAAAAUGUCAAGUUCGAGCUCGAGGUUAAAAAAUAAAAAUAAUAAUUUUUUAACAAAUAAUAAAACAUUAGGGAUAUAUAUGUAAUUUUACUAUUAAAAUAAAAAAAUAUAUAAUUGAGCUCGCGAGCCAACGAACUUAAUGUUUUUGAGCUCGAGCUCGUAUUCAAUUGGCUCGUGAGCAGCUCGAUUCGUGAACAACUCUAUUUCGGACAGCCACAAAACAAACGACAACAACUACUAUGCGGAUUAAACAAGCAUAAACGACGACGACAAUCUAGUGGAACGACUAACAAAGGCAAACGACCAGAUUUGAAAAACACAAGGAAAACUUACAAGACUUGACAAGAUAUACUUGAUAACGUCAACUAGCUCUGAUUACCAUCUGAUACAAAUCCACCCGAAGGUAUGAACUCGUAUCCCACGUAGUCCCGGAUCUAGACGAAGAAAAUCAAGUUGAGUUGUGGAAUAACACUUGACCCUUCUAACCCUAGAUUGCGAACUUUGAAUUGAAUCUCAACCCACAAUCAAUCGAGUAAGUGAACCAAUGUUAAGAGUAGGAGAACACUACAACCAAGAUGUGUACUUAAUUGAUAAGUUCGAGGAAUACUCUCGAGUAAUUCUCAAGUAUUCAAAAAAUACUCUCUUGGACAAGAGAAAUGAUGUUUAACACACAAAUCUGAUAUAUUCCAAAACUAGAGAAAUGUUGGGAGUAUUUGGCUAUUUAUAGCUUUACAUAAACUCAAGACCUAAUGUGAUUUGAAACCACUUAUUACCUAAAGUUAAAUGACAAAAAGUCGGCCCAUUGGACUCCUAAUCUUGGCUGAAUUUAUUAGAUCAACUAACACUAAAUUAAGCAAGGUAAGUUAACAUUAAAACCUUUGCUUAGACACCAAACAAACGACUUAAAUGAACUAAAACAGAAAUUGAAUGCUCCAAACUUUUGAAACUCCCAACUAGACUUCACUUGGCUCAAAGACUUGAAUUAGGGUGUAACGAAUUGUUUCUUCCUUCUCAAGCUCAUGAAUAACAUUUGCAUGGUCAACUCCAUCAUGUAUGGUAUGAACUAGGGUUUGCAUUGAUUCCUUAAACUUCUUGGCACAUACUCUAGUCAUUGGACCACCUAGCUCCACUUGGACUACACUCGAAUUGUCUUGGUCAGUCGUCCCUCUUGCAUUAGGGAUCCGUUUGUUUGGUUCGUCUCAAGAAUGCACAUGUAACUCAAGUCAGUCGAUCAUGCAUGUGGAUAACAUAUUCUCAAAAUUGGGUAGUGUAUCUCAUACACUAACCGUUGAGUUAAUUUUUGGGAUAAUUUCAAUAACCUCCCUUGAGGUUUUUAACAAUUUCAUCUAGUUCUCUUGAACUUUGAAAAAUUACAUGUACCUCCCCCGAGUUUAUUGUUUCCGCAACAAAAACCAUUUAAUGGUCAAAAUUUUGAUUGAAUAAUCCAAAAUGCCCUCAUGAAAUUGUGAAAUUCAUUUUACCUUCUUAUAAAAUUAUUCAAAAACUAUGGAACAUGCACAAAAUUUCAAACUCAUUUUCAACCCCCAUCUCUACUAUUUUAAACCUUUUCAUAUUAUCACAUUUCAAAUUAGUACUAUUAUCACUAUGACUAUUACUACCAUCAAUUCCUAAAUUCUAAAACCUCAAUCGAAAUUUAAAAAAUUUGUAUUGCUAAACUCAAAAAAUUUUAAUAACCACAUCAAUAUAACAUCCUAUCCUUCAACUAUUGGAGUAUCAAUACCAACCCUAUCCUUUUUAAAUCCAAUUUACAUAGUCUUCUAUUUAUCUUCAGAUCCUCCAAGUAAAGCUAAAAUUAAUUUUUAAUAUAUUAUUAUUUUAUUUAGGACAUGAUCGAUUAUUCCACGAGUGAAUUUUAUUUUUGUUUCCAUUAAAUGUCUAAUUGUGUGACACAUUCAUAUGAACAAGAUUAGUAAUGAAUUGUUUAAUUGAAUGAAAAAAAAUAUUAAUAUAUUAAGACUAUUAUGGUCAUUUUAUAGGGCCAAAAGAGGUAUGUGUAAUAUUGAAAACCUCAAGGGUACUAUGUGAAAUUGUUAGAAACCUCAAGGGAGAUUUUUGAAAUUAUCCCUUAAUUUUUCACUAACUAGUGAGUUAAAGGCUUAGGCCCACAUUUUUUUACUAGUAAGAUAACUUUUGUCAGAUAGAGAAAAUUGAAUUUUGAUGAGAAAUACAUUUCAUUUUGGAUAAGUGAUAAUACAUUUGGGACGAACCAAAAAGGAAAGCAUGGUACAAACAUCUUAACAAACACUAAAUGGACAAGUAAACAUCUUAAAUGAAUUUUAGCAAGAGAAAGGUUGAAAUUCUCUAUUUCAAUCAAAUUUAACCAUUGUCAUAAGCUAGUUUCAAUUUCUCAAAGCCUACACUUCACCAAACAAACAAACAUAUGAAAUCGGAAAAUGCUAAUGCUUUCGAUCAAUAACUUGUGUCAUAACAUUUCUUCUGGUUAUAAAUCUUAACACCUUGUAGAGAAAAAAGAUGAUGAGUUCACCAAUGAUAUGGAUUCACACAAAUUCCUAGACUUUAAAAUUUCAACCUACUCCAAGAUGGUAGAGGCAGGUGGUGACCUCAUCAAACAACCCGGACAAAGCCAAUGGGUAUGACUACCUGCACUGGUGGCUAGAAGGUGUCAGGAAGAACUGGAACCAAGUGAGGAUGCAGAAGCUAUCAGCAAGGAACGUGAAUAGGAAGAGAAGCACAACGUUGGAUGAGCAAAGGAAUAAGGAGAGAAAGAUAAAGAAGGCGUAUCAAGAGAGGAUGAAGGACCUUAAGGAGAAGAUAAAGGCAAAACAAGGUGCGGAAGAGAAAGAAGAUGGAGUAGAGAGAGAAGAGAAAACCUUACCAUUAUUGACCACAUACUAGGCUUUGUGCCCUGCAACUUCUAUGAGGCGUCGAUUAGUGAUUAUAUUAGGGUAAUGUAAGAUUUAUUUAAUACGUAUAGUUAGAUUGUUGUGUAUGAUAGGAGCAUACAUUGGAUUGAUUUUUUUUAUAAAUAGAUAUAGUAAAAUUGAUGUGAUCUGUAUUGUGUUUUUUAAAAUUAAUAUGAUUUAAGCAUUUGACAGAUAAUAUUGGUAUUAAAAAAUUAAAUUGUUUUUUAUUUUAAUUUAGUGGUAAGUAAAUGUUAUUUAAAUUAAUGGAAUAUAUAUUAUUUUUUAAAAGUUGAUAGGACAAAGAAUUAAGUGGAGAAUUACAUUGAGAGUGUUAUAAUUUGGACGUUGUGUGAUGAGAUAAAUUAAUAAUUUGGAAUAACUUGAUAUUGUAGAUUGGUAACAUAUGUGUUUGUUAAUUAAGUAGGUUUUUUUUCAAUAAGUGAAGAUGAUAUUGAUUUAGUUAUGAAUGAAUGUGUUUGAAAUUGAUGGAAGUUAUAUUUUUUAAUUAAUAGAGUUUGAAUAAGUGAGGGAUAAUAUUAAUUUUGAGAGCUGAGAGAUUUUAUAUUAAUACUUUAUUGAUAAAUGGAUAUUAUUGAAAGUAAGGUGAUGUGUAUAGAUUUUUUUAUAAGAAACAGAAAUGAUUGCAUAUGAAAAUUAUAGAGUUUAAUUACAGUAAUUUGCAGUAGAAUUUUUAAAUAUUUAUUGUUUGAUGUUUAUGUGACUUAUUUUAUGUUACUUAAAGUUGUGGUGAAUUUGUAUUGAUAUGUAGAUAUAGGUAUAUAACAUAAUUUUUAAUAUGCAUGUGUGUGUGUGUGCAUGUUUAGUAUUUUAUUUGAGGUGAUAUAAUGGUUUGAUUUUUUUUAGUGUUUAGAUUUUUUAUGGUUUUGUCUGUUUGUUAUAUUUUAUUUUUUGUUUAUUUACAUAUGUAUAUAUAUAUAUGGAUUUUUGAUACUUUAUUUGAGCUUGUAUGAUUGUUUAAUAUUGUUUUAGUGUUUAUAUCUUUUCUAGUUUUGUUUGUUUGUUAUAUUUGUGGGUUCUUAUUUGUGUUGUGAUCCAUGUGUGAAUAUGAAUUUUUUUUGAGUUGCAUCAUGUAUAUUUUUGUCAAUAUAUAUAUAGGGCCAUGGUUUUAAAUAUUUGUAUGUAAAUUUGUGGUAGUUUGGCUAUUUUUGUUAUAGUUUUGAAGAAAAUUUUAUCUUUUUUAUUUUUUUUAGUAGUAUAUUUUUGAAUUUUUGAAUUUUUUAAGUGGGUUGUUUUUUGGGUAUAUUGUAAAGUUGGAUAAUGAGAGAAAUUUAAUAGUUGGUGAGAAAAUUCUGAUUUUAUGUAUAUAUUUUCCUAUAUUUUCUAGACAAUCAAUAUUUUUGUCCAUACAUAUAUAUAUAUUGUAGAAAACUAAUAUAAAUAAAAACGCACACAAAGAAAGUACAAGGAUACAUAAAUUAUAUAAAUUUGUAUAACGGAGGCCAAAAAAAUUUGCAUCUGCAUCGCGGAAUUGAGGGUGGCAGCUGCAGUGGUACAACAAAUAAAAGGACAAAAUUGACAAUGAAAUUACAAAGAAACCAGGACAAAAGGGCAUAAUUGAAAUAAUUGACAAAAGAAAAAAUGAGAAAGGAAGCAACAACAAACAAAGCGGUUCACAGGAGGCCCCAUAUAAUGCUAAAAGACAGGAAAUGCCAAAAUCAGGCCCAAAAUCACACUGAAAACAGGACAAUUCACUAUAGGUGAAGCCUCGGCGCUUUAUGUAGUUUAAGAUAAGAUAAGAUACUAUCCAACAUAAUAAUCACACUUUCUCAAGUAGUUGCAAAAUUGAUACUAUUCACCAUCUCCGAAAUUUUUACACCGCAAGCAAUCUUUCACAACAUAAAUAGUCUACUGCGAUUUACUUUGAGAAAUAGAGGUGAUAUUGCUACGAUUAAUUUAUUACAAAUAUGUAUAAAAGAGGGAAUGCCAUGCUUCAAGAGUGUGUACUGUUGAUGAUGUGGCAAAACGUGAUUGGUUGGAGAGUGUUCGUCCAACUUCAGCUCCAAUUGGUUUCCUUUUCGUUGUUGUUGUUUCAUUCUGUCCUUGUUUGUUAGUUCUUAGCAGACUAAGACUAUAAGGCCUCGUUUUCAUGAGUGUUUCUUUUUUGCUUUCUGCUAUAUAUUCAUUAUAAUUACUCCCUCUGUCCCAAUGAAUCUGUCGUGCUUUGGGAAUCCCACAUUUUUUCAACAGUGCUCCGAUUUCAAAAGGUAAUGGGUUAUGUUCCAAGAAUGCCCCGGUUGAAUUAGCUAUGCAGCCUGACGUGUUGCUCCAUUGAUGGUAGGAUAGAGUAGUGAUAUGAUUGUGGGACCCAUACAUAUGAUAUAUUUUCAAGCCCUUUUGGAGAAAGUGCAAUGCACGAAUCCUGCUGGUUCUAACGUGACACUCACACACCAUCACAUGAAAAUUCUCUAUUUCACAGGUGAACUUUGGGGCCCACUAAAAUAUAAGAAUCUUGUUGUAAGAUUUAAGGGUAUCAGUGGAAAUCGGUGAAAGUUUUUAUUACCAUUAUUGGUAAGUGACACUAAUUUUGGGACGGACUAAAAAGGAAAGCAUGACACUUCUAAUGGGACGGAGGGAGUAUAAUAAUAUAUACAUAUAGGACUAGAACUGAGGCUGCAAUAUUAGGAUAGUACUGAUAAUGUGAGGAGGAAAAGAGUGGUAAGAGUAGUUGUUAUGACACAUUGUAGCAGGUGUGAUAUGUCUUCUUGAAUGACAAAGGUUACGUGGUCAACUAAAUAAAGGGAAACUGAAAUGACAAUUUUACCCUGACUAUUAUGAUGCUAUUACGGAUUCUUCACUAAAGCCCAUGUUGUAUUCAAUGGCCUGUUAGUGUAAAAUUUUCUUUGUAAACAUUGUGCAAUCCUGACAAAGAAUGAAUUGCCGCUCUUUCUUCUUUGCUUUCAGUUGAUGACGAGACUGAUGAAAAUUUUUUCGUACAGUUUUCGUGAGUUCAUCGCCGGUUUCCUGUUGGAUUUUGGAAGUCCUGCAUUAUGGUCAGUGUUGUUUGUAUUAGUCUUACUUGUUGUUCUCUUUUCUUUUUUCUUUCAUGAACGAUGAACUAAUCUUCUUCCUGCUUAUUUUCCUGGCCUUCCUUUGUAUUGCUUUGUUGUUGCCUUGCUGUUUAGAAGCUUGCUUGCAUCUCUGCAACUUUCGGUUAGCUGCUGGUAGGCAUGCUCUGCUGCAUGUUAUGAAUUUCCCAUUGUUUUUUUCCCUUUGCUUUGUUUUCUGUUCACGCUUUAUCUUUUUUUUUGCCUUUCUCACCAUUUUUUAUUACCUCUGUAUUGCUUUUUGGAAUCUUUUUCUUCCUCUUGCUUAGAAGAUCCUCUGCUAUACACGACUUCUCAAUCCUUCUGUUCUUUUGUUGCUUUUGUUCUCUUCGGAUUCUCCUGUCAAUCCCUCAUUUUUUAGUUCAGGUUAGUAUCUUUCUUGUUUUAUGCAUUGUCUACAUGUUUCGAAAUUGUUUGUUCCUCUCCGUUGUACUUUGUCUUAUGUUACGUUUGCUUCUCACUUCUUUGUCUCUUGUUUUGACAGCAAGAGAUUCUGUGCGUCUUGUUGUUGCUAUUUUAUUGGCUGAGGUGUGGCUGCUUGCCUGUUUGCCUGAGGUGGUGUUACUUCCCUUCUGCUUCUUUUUCCUUGACUUUUUCUUACUAUGUCCCUAUGCUGUUACUGGUGGGUGUCAAACCUCCAAAAAUAAAGUUAAAAAUAACAGCCUAAUUGCCAACCAACACAAUCUCAAAUUUUAUUCGUAAACAGGGCAAGUAGGGUCGUCUCCUCAGGGAACUGGUAGGCAAAUCACACAGGAAAAUGGGGGGGAAUUUUUAGCAAUAGUAUCAACUAAUUAAAAAGGAAUAAAAACUGAAAUUCAAAGUUGAGUAAGAUAGCGAGAACCAAAUUACACAAAUAAUAAUUAAUUAAAACAAUCUAGUCAAGGAAUUAAUCUUGGAAUCCAAGCACACAACUGAUCACAGAUACAAGGGACAAUUCAUAUACUCACGAAUAAACUGGUUAUAGUGGUCAAGCGAUGCGCCCAACCACCAAUCUUUUCUUAAUUUUAUGGUAGUCAAGAGACGCUCAUAAACUACCCUCUUGUGACUAGACAACCCCAGAAACGCUCACAAGAUUUAAUGUAGCCACAGUAUUAGGAAUUAGAAAGACCCAAUUCUAAAUGACAAACACACAUGCGGAUUUGUUUAGGCUAGAUUAAUUAUCCCCACGAUCCAAAUUAGACCGCUUGCGAGGCGGUGCAAUUGUCUCGUUUGCCACUAAUCAAGAUGCUUAAAGGCGACGCGCCAACAUCCUAAUUGGCUAUCAAUUAUUUAGACAAUCGAAUAACAGGUCUAAUUAUCCAAUAAAUCUAAACAAUAAUAACUCAGGGAAAAAAUAGAGAAUAAUCAAAUACCCAUGAACAUAUAAAUUAAAAAUAAGCAAUUAAAACGAUCUCACAGUUAUGGUGCCCCGAUCCUCGAUUUAUUCCUCAACUAGAUAAACGAUCUAGUCUUGCCGCAUAGUCAUGACAACAAAGUCAAUCAAAGUUUUCAUGGAGUUUUGUUAAUUGAAGAAGGAGUAAAAGAUUUUUCGCCGCUAGUCUCCUAACAAAGAAGAAAACAAAAGUAGAGAAAAAGUCCAAGUCCAAGAUCCAUCCCUAGUCUAUUGCUGUCUUCUUUUUAUUGUUUGCGCCGCCGUUUCCUUUUUGCUAGCCGAAAUAAUAUGUGGGUUUAUUCAAACAAUUUGCUUCCUUUUCCCCCAUUGGAUUGUUACCAAAAGUCAUCUUCCAAUUCUAUUUCCUAAUCCCACGUAAGUUUAAAGUAUGGCUCCAAGGAAAGGCGGUGGCCCCAGGAAUAGGACCCGCAAUCCGGAUUUUUCACGCAACUCUGCGUUGUCUGGCGUGGGCACGCCAGAGAAGGCGCAGUCUUCUGGAAUUUGCCCUUUUUUAUCACUUUUAACACCAAUUGCCUAUAAGUAACACAAAUACCCAUUAUGAGCAGAAAUCCAAUACUUUGCAUAAUAAACUGCCAAAAUUAAGACCAAAUAACCACAAAUAAAAUGCAUAAUUAUAUCCCUAUCAAAUUCUCCCACACCAAGACAAUGCUUGUCCUCAAGCAUUUCAAACUUUAAAUACACAACCCAACGAGCAAACAUUUUUACAGCAGUUGAAUUCAAAACAAUGGCUAUUAAUCAAAGCAACUAUUGCCAAUGUAUGAUUUACAUAACUAUCAAGUACUGAUGACAAAAUUUACGAGAUAACUCUCCAACUAGCUUUUCAAACCAAUGACUCUUUCAAAUCCAGAAUAACUAAUCUAAGAAUAGAAAAUAUCCAACCAACAUUCUUUAAUAACUGGUCCAAUUAUUAAGCAAAAUCUCAACAUAAAGACUCAUGGAUCCGCAGGCAAUACAAUUAUUCACAUACUUUCAUGCUCGUAUACUUUUUUUCUUUUUUUUUCAUCAUUUUCAUUUUUUUUCCUGUUUCUUUUUCCAUUUUUUUUUCUUGAAGGAAGUGCUUAGUCUUGAGCCAUUCAAGUCUUUUGACGCGAACUCCGACAUCUCUCCAAUGAAGGAGCCCGGUUACUCAACUUUAACCGCUUAAAGACCACAUACUCAUAGUUAUCGCUGCUUUUUGACGCGAAAAUCGACACUUUAGGUGAAAACCCCCGGUUACUAGUCAAUGAUAACCAGCGGAGUAUAGCCGAAUAUUAUUCACAAAAAAACACCCAAGUAAAAUUAAAACCAUGCAAGCCUGCUUCAUUUCCUUAACAUGGAGAACUAAGAUUAAUAGUUGAACCAGUUCACACAAAAAAUGUCAGAAAAAUAUUUACAAUGCCUAGAAAAGUUAACCAAAAGAAAUUGCAAGAGUCACAAAAUCUCAAAUAUUUACCAAAGAGUCAUCCUAAAAUUUUACCAUAUCAUACUUAACAUAUUAUCAUCUAAAACCGUAACAAUAGUUAAAUUUGAAAAUCUAGCCAUUGCUUAUCAGGGCUAACCACAAAAAUCCAAAAGGCAUGGUAAAGGUUUCUUUUUUUUUUUUUUUGGCAGAAGGAAAAGCUAGACUACUCCCCCCACACCUAAAGUCUACAUUGUCCUCAAUGUAAGAACGAAAAGUUGAAGUCAAGUGAAGGGAGCAAAAAACUUCCCUGAAUGAAUAAAAACUGCAACAAAACACCAUGGUAGAGGAGGUGUCAGGGACUGGCAGCGUGGAGCCUGCGACGGUAGUGUGGUGUAGCGUUGCUUCAGAUGGAAGCGGAAGUCUUCAAUCCAAGCCUGUGUCCCCAGAGUUGACUAGAGUUGCUGUAAGGCGUGACCACGCCUUAUAAGGCAGAGUCUUCUGCCCAAGCAUUUCUACGGUGUUCAAGAGCAUCACUUAUAGGGCGUGGGCAUGCCUUGUAAAUCCAAGUCUCCUGCCCAACACCAAAAAAAAA